AAAAUAUGCAAACACGUAGAUCUCCAUAAAUUGUUUAUGAGUUGAGAUUACAUGCUGAAAACGAACACCUAUGCAAACAGUGAUGACUGCUUAAAGAAUUCGUCGACGAUUAUUUACAACAAUUGCAAAACUCAACAGAAUUUUCGGUCCAAUUUGUUUAAGUCAAGUUUUUUCAUUAAUUCCAAUACUAAAUUAGUCACAUCACCUAUCAGAUUAAAAUUAAUAAGAACUUUGUCUGGACAAAUUGGAAUCAAAAAAUCAAAACGAUAAGUUACACUUUUAGUUCGGACGGUGACACUUUGGUCCUCACACUAUGAUUUCUUAUAAUCUUUUACUUGAAUUUUUCUUAAUUUUUGCACGUAAGUCUCAUAAUCUUAUUUAGUUAGUUGGCUACAUAUUAACAAAUUAUUAAUAUACAAAUAAUGUAAAAGUACUAUAAUGAAUAAUACAGUAAUAAUUAAGAUGUUAUAUUAUUUUUAUAUUAAAAUUUUAUUAAUAUUUAGCUAACCGAAUUGGGUUGCGGAACUUAAUUGUAAUAAUUUAGAAAAUUCAAAUAAAAAAUUGCAACUAAUUAAGUUGAGGACCAAAAUAUUAUAUUCGUCAUAGUUUGAGGACUAAAAGUGUAAUUUACCCUAACGAAAAAAAAAAAAAAGGGUAGCGACAAAAAUUAAUAAAAAAAAAAAAAAAAAAGGGUGGCGCCAAAAAUUAAAAGAAAAAAAAUAAGUUAGCGACCAAUGAUGCAAUUAACCAUAAACAGUAAGAACUAAAAUUGGUUUUAAAAUUUUCUGCAUAAUGGGCCCUGAAUUCAAAUUCAAAUUUUCCACUUAAUGUUUUUUGGUGAUAAUGUUCACAACUUAAUUGUACCGUGAACCAUUUUAAAUCAAAUAUUUAUUCUUCUAAAACUUUGAUUUUAUUAUUUAAUCUUUUAUUCUGUUUGUCUUGAGUCAGUCAACGAUAUAGUAACUUUAAAAUUUAAGUUAAUUAAUUAUUUUAAUAAAUUUAUAAUUUUGAAAAUUAUAUAAUAUAUAUUAAUUUAAAUUGAAGCUAAAAUAUCAUUAAUUGACGCAAAUUUAAAAAAUAAAAGGUUGGAUUGUAAAAUUAAAAUUUUAAAAAACUUGACGUAAGUUCUAUAUGAUUUGUUUAGGAGCGGUUAAUUUUAUUCAACUCCCUAUAAAUAUAUCAAAUAGCAAAUAUAUCCCUAUAAAGUUUAAUAUUUUAUAUUUAUUCCUAAAAGUCUAGUAAUAUUGAUAUUUGCCCAUCCGGUUUGUUAACGCUGGAGCACUGUUUAUUUUUUAACAGAAGAUAAAUAAAAUGACAUUGCCAUCACAAAUAUAUAUCCCUCCAAAGCUCCAACUGUUAGAAUUAUACAAAAAUGUUCUCCAAAAAAUCUCCAAUAGUUAUCUUUUUUCUCUUUACCAUCAUAAAUAAUAUAAGAAAAGUAAAAAAGGCCAAUUUACUCUAUUCACUCUUGAGAGUUAAAUAUUAGAAAUUUUGUAGGAAUAUAUCUGUUAUUCAAUAUCUUUACAAAAUGCUGUACGCAAUCAACCCUUUUUUUUCUAGGGUUAGUUUCAUACAUGUUCCUACAAACACAGUGAAUUGCAAAUAUAUCUCUACAAAAUUCAAUUUUUAUAUAUUGUUCCUACAAAAGUCCUAAUAUUUUCAAAUAUAUCCUACCGUUAAAAUCCGUUAGAAAAUUUUAAUUAACCAUAGAUUAAAUACUUAAUCCUGAUUAGUUUAUGAGAUAACUUAAAAUUUUUAUCCUUCUUAUAUUAUACUGUUGUGACUUUUGGGGGGACAUAUUUAUGAUGAUAAAAUUGAUAUUUCACUUAAAAUAUAAACAGUUCUAUAAGAGUAAUAAACUAAAAAGAAAUUUAAAAUAUUAAAAUUUUUAUAAAAAUAAUAUAUAAAAGUUAAAUUUUAUAUAAAUAUAUUUAUAAUUUGCUAUGUUUACAGUGAUAUGUAUGCUUUUCUUUUUCACUUGUUUGUACUAUGUGCCCGCGUUAAUUAAAUAUCAAACAAACAAUCUGCUGCCACGUGUUGUUCCUUUAUUUCCAACCCUCCCAUUUUUCUCUUAUACAAACUUUCAAAUCUCACUCUCUUCCCCUUCCCAAAUUCAAGAAGAGAGAGGAGAAACGCUCCAAUACGAAACCACACACACAAAAAAANGAGAGUUAAAUAUUAGAAAUUUUGUAGGAAUAUAUCUGUUAUUCAAUAUCUUUACAAAAUGCUGUACGCAAUCAACCCUUUUUUUUUGGGUUAGUUUCAUACAUGUUCCUACAAGCACAGUAAAUUACAAAUAUAUCUCUACAAAAUUUAACUUUUGUAUAUUAUCCCUACAAAACUCCGAAUAUUUUUAAAUAUAUUCUACCGAUAGAAUCCGCCAGAAAACUUUAAUUAACCAUAGAUUAAAUACUUAACCCUGAUUAGUUAUAAGAUAACUUGAAAUUUUUAUCCUUCUUAUAUUAUACUGUUGUGAUUUUUGAAAGAAGAUAUUUAUGAUGGCAAAAUUGAUAUUUUACUUAAAAUAUAAAUAGUUCCAUAAGAGUAACAAACUAAAAAGGCAUUUAAAAUAUUAGAACUUUUAUAGNUCCCGCGCCCAACCAACCCACCCACCCACCCACCCGUGAGGACAAAAGGGAGGAGGCGCAUGGGGAGCUGCGAUGCGAGGGGCCCGUCGCAGCAGCAGUAGAGCCGGGUCGGGGCGAGCGGCGGAAUAGCAGCAGCAGCAGCAGCAGCAGCAGCAGUAUUAGUAGUAGCGACUGCGGAUCCCGAGGCGAUUCCCGGUGGUGAAGAUAACCGCCCCGUCUCCUGUUUGUUCUCCCCCGUAAUCCCCCCCACCCCUCCCCAAUCUCCAUCAUGGAGAUCACGAAGCCGCCGCCGCCGCCGCCGCCGACGACGACGACGACGACGACGACGCAGCUGCAGCAGCAGCAGCGCAAGUGGGUGGUGCCGUUGCUGGCGCUGGUGCUCUUCUCGUCCCUGCUCAUCUCGAUCUCCCUCUUCUCCUCCUCCCGCGUCCUCCUCCUCUCCUUCUCCCCCAUCCGCUCCCUCGCCGGGGACGACCCCCUCUUCGUCGAGCCCAAGCUCCGCCUCCUCCCCUCGCCGCCGGCCCCCCUCCCCGCUCCGCCCCGCCUCGCCUACCUCAUCUCCGGCUCCUCCGGCGACGGCGCCGCGCUCCUCCGCGCCCUCCUCGCCCUCUACCACCCCCGCAACCGCUACGUCGUCCACCUCGACCUCGACUCCCCCGCCGCCGAGCGCGCCGCGCUCCGCGACCGCCUCGCGCGCCACCCCGUCCUCGCCGCCCGCGGCAACGUCAAGAUGAUCUCCAAGGCCAACCUCGUCACCUACCGCGGCCCCACCAUGGUCGCCAACACCCUCCACGCCGCCGCCGUGUUGCUCCGCGACGCCCCCGAUUGGGAUUGGUUCAUCAAUCUCAGCGCCUCCGAUUACCCCCUCGUUACGCAAGAUGGUUGUACCCUCUUUCUAAAUCUGUUUUGUUUCGCUUCAAAGGAUGUUAAUUAAUUAAUUUAUGAUUUGGUGGUGAUCAUACAUGUGUUUGUUUAGAUCUGCUUCAUACUUUCUCGUACCUGCCGCGGGAUCUUAACUUCAUUGAUCAUACCAGUGAUAUUGGGUGGAAGGAGUAUGUAUUGUGGAUUGAAACCCUACCCCCUUUCUGUUUGCUGAUGAAUUGAAAUUCAAUUAAAGAGUUGAUGGUUAUGCGUUAUAUUGUAUGUAGGUUUCAGCGGGCGAAACCGAUCAUUAUCGAUCCGGGGUUGUAUAUGCUGAAAAAGGCGGAUGUUUUUUGGAUCCCACAGAGGAGGAGCGUGCCGACGGCCUUCAAACUCUUUACUGGUAUGGUUGAGAGAGCCUUUGUUUUCGCUUCCUUUCCCUUGCGAAGCAACGGUAUUAUUUGCUUUACAAUUGCUUGGCUUUGAUGGAUAUUGCAAUUGGAUUGCUCCUUUUCUGAUGCUCUUUUGUUGGUCGUGAGCAUGGAAUGGUCAGAUUCUUUGCUGUACCAAACCGAUACGGUCGAUACUUCUUUUGUCUAAUGUUUCGUUGCUAGUAUCCUUCAAUAAUAGGUUAUGUAGAGAUGAUGAAUCUGGGCAUGGAGUACCUCUUCCGAUUGUUCUGGUUUAUAGGUAGACGUAUAUUUGUUCUCUGUACGCACAGGAGAUGUGCAAUUGAUGCUUGAUCUCUGUUUCAUUUCCUGCUUAUUCAGGGAACAUGGGUUUCGUGACUGGCUUCAUAAACUUUCAAAAAAUAAAUAGCGACGACAGACUGCACUGAAAUGAAACUUUUGAGCUGAUUGCUUUCUCUUUGUUUCGCAGAGUGUUCCAUAUCUUCAUUGGAUUUUCUAGUGCAAGCGUAGCACGCAUUGAAUAUAAGUUGGUUGAAAAUCCAUCGAGAUAUUUUGGACAUGUGUAAUAAAGACCCUUUAGUGCCCCACCGAAGUGAUUUGAUUAGAUUGAACGACAGGUAACUUAAGAGUGAUGGGAAGAUCAAAACUUAUGUAAGAUGAUAUAUUGAGAGAAGAUAUGAUAAUACUUGGUUUACUGAGGGACGGAGGGAUCUGCUGUAUGUCAAUUAAAGCAACAAACAACAGACAAAUGAGAACCUAGCUGAAAGCCAUAAUAAAAGAAAGAUUACUUUGAGAUGACUAAAUUUACUUAGCUGCCCUUUAAUUUGUUGAUUGAAUUCAUUCUCAGACGUUUGGGGAUCCUUACAACUUUCACUCUUCUUCAAUGCUUUUUGUUUAUUGCUGAAUUAUGCUUUACAUCUCAUGGCUUCCAUCACCAAUUUGCUCUCCAACUCGAGCAACAUUCAUCACUGCAAGGUCAAAAUCAAGUCUAGCAGUGUUGUAAUUCUUUGUCGUGUUCAUCAAUCAAGUAUGAAACUCUGUGAAUUUUCUUCAAAUUAUAAAUGCUGUCAAUAGUUUUCUGUAUGUACAUCUAGAAGACCGUCGGUCCAAAUAUACUAUUCUAAAGUGUUUUUGCAUAUUAUUCUCUCUGCAAAUAUGCAAAAUUAUUAUGCAUAUACUCUGGUAAUGUUGGUAUUUGCAUGCAUGCCCUCAAAUAGCUUGCGUAUUUGCUUGUGUACCCCUUUUUGAUAUAUAUCCGAGAAAGGUUUUUGUAUAUGUACCCUGCUGAGGCCAUGCAUGCCAAUAAAGCUGUUUUGAGGGGUAUGCAUGUAAAUAUCAACUUUGGAAGGGUAUUCACACAAUUUCACAUAGUUGCAGGGUCUAACAAAAAAGCUUCUGUCAUUAAUAUUUACCUAUACUCUUUUGCUUGAUGUUUUAUCACCACUGCAGGCUCUGCAUGGAUGGCACUUUCUCGCCCUUUCAUUGACUACUGCAUCUGGGGGUGGGACAACCUCCCACGCACCGUCCUCAUGUACUACGCCAACUUUAUCUCCUCCCCUGAGGGCUACUUCCACACUGUUGUCUGCAAUGCCCGGGAGUUCAAAAACACGACCGUGAACCACGACCUCCACUUCAUCUCGUGGGACAACCCUCCAAAACAACACCCGCACUACCUCACGAUAGCCGAUAUGUCACGCAUGCUCGACAGCAAUGCCCCGUUCGCCAGAAAGUUCCGGAGGGACGAUCCAGUGCUUGAUAAGAUUGAUGCUGAGCUUUUGUUCCGUGGACCUGACAUGAUUGUGCCCGGAGGUUGGUGUGCUGGGAAGAGAGAGAACGGAAGUGAUCCCUGCUUGGUCGUGGGUAACACCACUCUCCUCCAACCAGGACCCGGAGCUAUGAGGUUGGAGCGGCUUAUUGUUUCGCUUCUCUCAUCGGAGAACUUCCGGCCGAGACAAUGCAAGUAGUAGUAUUCCUUUUUGGAUCCUCAGGUAUUAAAGCGGCACGAUAAAUUAAGGCGGUAUUUACAACUUGAGGAAAAAGAAAAGUUCUGUGGCGGAUGUUCGUCACCUUCAAUAAAAAGAAUUUUGCCGAUCAUGUUUUGUGGCCCCCAUGUACAGAGAGCAGUUAGGCGAUCAGCGCAGUGCAGUGCAACCGCCCGAACCUGGGGAGGUACCUGAUCUUUCCAUGAUCGCGAUGAUUUAUUGCAGGCCCAUUUUUUAGAUGCAUUAGCAAGCAUUUACUAUUGGAGCUCAGCAUGUUCUAGAUUUACUAGUGUUAGACAUUGAAGAAAAAUGGAAUUUAUCAAAAAUAUAUAUCAUUAUCAAUGUUUACUUACUGUUACUCCAUGUUUGUGCUACAUUUGGUAGCUGUGAUACAGUAUUUUGCACUUAACUGCUUUUUUUUUUUUUUUCUGUAAAGCAAACUGAGUAGAAGGUAAUAGAGACUUGGCACAAUAUCUACUUCAUGCUUUUGAGUAAAACAAUUCGGACAGGUGCAUCAAUGAUUUACUUCUUAUUUCUGAGUUGGAAUGUGACAAUGAUGUUUUGUUUAUGUGAUACAUGUUUAAAAGAUUCGUUAGUGACGUUUUUCCGUGCAAGCAGGCUCUUAGUGUUCUCUACAAUUUUCUGUUCAUGUAGCCACAUCGACAGGUUGAGUUUCCUCGACAUUUACUGGCUUUCUGGGAAUACAAAAUAUCAUUUGAUAUCUAAUUUGAUUGAGAUUUGAAUCUUGAGGAUAUUCCUAUAACUAGGUUUAGUGUUAUAUUUUUUUUUUUCCACUUUUCGCUCAUACACAUAUUAUGCCAGGUUUGUUCCUUUUUUUUUUAUUUUAUGUAAAGCACAAUAUCCUUAGGUUGAGUAAACUUUAUGUGAGGUGAGCCAAUGUACGACGCUAUCAGGAAAAAGAAGAAUUGUGGAACUGCUUCCCUGAGACCCUCCAGCUGGAUCAAGAAGUCAAAAACAGAGUUUUUGAAGUUGCACGAAUAGAAGCUCUAAUUUGUAACUUACGCAAUUAAAUUCGGUACAAAGUUAUUUUUGCGAGGAUUUUAUUGCAUUCCAACUUUUAAAAUAGCUUAUUUGCAAAUACUUGCGAGGAGGUGAGUUAAGAUAUUUGUAUGAGAGCGUUUAGUCUUUAAUACGCAAACACAAAAUAGGAUUACUGGGGUGUUAUAUUUCUAGACGAGUAAUAACACCUGGAAGGUCUAAAAAUUGAAGGAGCGUCCAGGGACACCUUGGUUUGAACAUCAUAGUUUUACGCUAUUAGUUAGAAAAUAGUGGUUUGAUCAAAGUGGAUUAGGCUAUGUUUGGGAUUGCAUAUAUAGAAUGUCUUAUCUACAGUAGAAAAAGUACGAAAAAAAAAUAUUUUUAUUUGUUUCUGAAAAGCUUAUAUCACAAUGAGGCUGCUACAGCUGUAGUUCUGCAUGAAAAUACAAUUUUGCCAAAAAAAAAAGAAGGAAAUAACAUCUCUAUAUCGUUUUGCAUUUACUCCUUUUCCGCCAAUAAUAGUAGAUAGUUCUCAAUAACAAACGAGCCUUAUCUGACGUGACGACUCUUUGUAAAAUGUAUAGUGUUAUUACUUCACUCAAAAUUUUGUCGUAAAUUUUGUCGUAUGGUGUAAUAUCAGCUUCGAUUAUACAAUUUUUAAAAAAACAUCAAAUUUUAAAGAAAAAGAUUCAAAUACCAUCCACAUGGUUUCGUGCUUUCUCACUUUAGUACUUUAUAGUAUAAAAUACAUUACUUUCAUAACUUGUGAUUUUAUUUUUCUCUUUUCGUCAUCCUCUCCAUUAAUUUUUUUAUUAAACCAGUGACAAAGUUAAAACCACGUGAUACUAAAGUAAAUAUUCUAUAAACUAUAUAAUACUAAAAUGAAUAUUCGAUAAACCAUAGACGGGGUAUCUAAAAUAUUUUGUAUAUAUGAUUUAAAGAUGAGUAAACUGAAGCGCUGAUGAAAAAAAAAGAAAAAAAAAAGAAAAAAAAAAAAGAACACACAAGGUACUAAAAUAAUACACUUUAAACCACAUAGUGCUAAAAUAAAAAAUCGCAAAAUCACAAAAAUAGUAUUUAAAGUUUGCCCAACUUUAAAAGAGAAAAUGAAUAAAUAGAAACCAUUGGAUGGAUAGGAUGGAUAGGAUGUAUAAUUUACACCGCUUUUGAGCGUAUGAAUAGUAUUGGUCUUUUUUCGCUGGUCACAGUGUGUGAUUAGCGAAGAAAUCUCAAUUCUAAUAUUUUUUUGGACAUUUGAAUAACAUUGCUCUUAUUACAUACUAGAACAUCUGCUUUCGCAGUAAAAGUAGAACUAAAGCAAAAGAGAAAAGAAAUAUAUUUCUUUAUUAGAUCUUCUAUUCGACACUAUUCCCAUCUGGGUCUGAUUCGCUCAUUGAAUGCACGAACUUCUUAUUCAAGAUAUCUCUAUAAUUUACUUCAAAAAUCUUGUAUAAUUGGCGGGCGAAGAGUGCGAUCAAAUGUUUGGAACGGAAUAUUAUACAUAGCCUUUUUAUUUAAGUAAUUACUCUGGAAUAUGAUAAAUCACUUUAUAGAUAAAAUAUAUUAUGCUACUAAAUUAUAGAUAUCAAGACCUUUUGGACAGCAAAAAUCAAAAUCUUUAGCUCCAACCACACAAAAAAAUCCGCAUAUCAAAUGUGUAAUUCUUAGAUUCCAACGUUCAAAUAGGGCCUUAUGUGAUGCAUUUAUAUUAAUUAAUACACAUCAUCUGCAAACUCAUUCAUGUAGUAAAGCUUUGAAUCUUAAUUUCACAAUCAAAUCAAAUCAUUGAAACUUGCUUGAACUGUGAGAGUAAAAUGCACGAUUGACUCCCAAAUAGAUUGAAAAUGAAAGAGGGUAAAUGAAAUAGGAAGGAAAGUGCAGGGAUGGUUUUCGAUAUUUAACCUAAAAGUUGUCGCAUAAUCCGGUUUGAGCGAAUAUAUUAGACACUCCAAAUGGCAAGAGGAAAGUAAGCAGCUAAUUCCUUAAAAGGCGUGGCAAAAUGAACAGAAAAGCUCCAAAAUAGAAAUAAAAUCACCUUCUGAACAAAAGAACUUUGAGUGAUUUCGAAAUACAAGACCCUACAACCAUGGAGUUGAGUUAUCCUGGUAUGCAAUUCUUAUUUCACAUGAAUGGGGAUUUUCUUCUACGGUUAUGUCACUCUAUCAAGAGCACCACCAACCUGCAUAUGAAGCCAUUCCGUUGCCGAACCCUGUCCAUACUCCCUUGGUGUCUCUAGGCUAAAUGGCAAACUAGAAGAAGCAUUGAAUGUUUGAGGGCCGAACUGCAAAAUGUUUCACGACGAUUUUGCCGUGAAAGUACAAUAAUCCAUCAUCGAUUAACCCAGGAUAAGUAAUCAUGGUAGGAACUAUAAUUAUGUUAUACCCAUGGUGAAACUUUCCACAAAAACUUACAUCUUUUGGCGGGAAUGCUUCAAUGCCAGUGUCCAUGCUUGAAUUGACUGCUUCUAGCUUCAUCGACAAAAACUGAAAUGUGCAGCAAAAAGGAAUUAUUUUUGAACUACUUUUGAAGGCAAUGCCAAAGAAUGCCAACUGCCGGAAAGGUAUCUACCUCAACCUGGCAUUGUAAGGCCUGAAUGUAAUUGAUUAUUUCAUCCAGAACUGAUGCUUUACCAAUCACCUGUGAGAACACGCAUGAAAGCACAACGUCAGAGCGCAACAUUCAACGAAAAGUAGCUCCAGAACUAGAAGAGGCAUUAAAUUGCGACCUUCAGCAUGAGUUGAAAAUAGUUGAUCCGAUGCAAUACUACAUGAUAUCUGAAAUUUUUUUACAAAAAAUAAUGUGGAAAUUUCAAUAUAGAAUAUGCACCUUAUUGCAUCCAGGGACUAGAUCUUGGAGAGUUUUCAUCCGUUCACUUAUUUUUUCUCUCCUUGCCUGCCAAUAAAGAAAUUCCAGUAAUAUAAUUAAAAUUGUGGAGCGAAGAAACCUCAGAAUGCUGCAAAUUUUGUGACCAACUUUCUACCAAGUUAAUAGGAACACAUUUCAAAAAAAAAAAUUCCGUGCCUCUUUUGUCUAGCUUCAUGGAGAAGCAACAGCCAGAGCUUUUGCUGUGGCUAGAAGCUGAAGUGAGCUUGUGAGCUCAGAAAGCAAAAGGUUCUAUUUGAAACCUCUGCUUCUGGGAUUUCAAUGGAAAAAGAUGAUUAUUUUUAUUUUAACAGCUCGUAAGCUACAAAUCAUGGAUACCAAGGAGGUAGGGAAUAACGGAGCUUAAGUCGUAACUUCAAAGAAAACCUUACUCUUUCUGCAAGACUAUGACUAUCUGUUGCUUGCCCCCUUCUCGCCCUGACGUGGAUGUAAUCUUGCUUGGGUGGCUCAGGCGGUGGAGCAAUUUGAUCCAUCUGCUUAUUAGCCAUUCCGGAACUUGCUUCAGCGGCACCUUUCACAUUGACAUUAUCAUCAACAGAUUUUACGCCCUUGAGCCGUUUUCCUUCAGAAUUAGUCUGCAAAGUAUUUCAACGAGCUUUCGGUUCAACCAUUUUUCAACAUUAGAAGCAAUUCUUACAUGAAUCAUUGCACUUUUUUUUUAAUGAUUUUACUUUUAUGCAAGGGCUCCAAAAAAUAGAAAAUUGUUUAGCAUACUAUCAUAUCCCUAAAGAAAGCACCAAAUUGCCUUCUGUUAAACAUAAAAAACCAAUGGUAUAUCAAUUGAGUUACAACUUAGAGAUACACUAUUUCAGCAGAUUGAAACCACUGAUUAAACUAAACCAAUAUGCGGCACACCAAUAAAAACAAGGCAAGCUUUCGAAAAUGUUGAGGAAUCAAUUAUGAUAGAUCAAGCACGCUGAUAAUGUAUUAUAAUGUUGAGAAAGUAGGCCUUAUUUUUAUUUCUUCCAUUUUCCAGAUUAUUUUCUCUUUGCUGAAAAACUUAAGAAACUUUUUUGUCCAGAUCCGAAGAUGACACUGGAAACAGCCAAAACUACUGAAACUGAAACUGAAGCACUGAGAGCCAUCAUCAAAACAGAUACAGUAACUAAAAUUUCAAACCUUGUUUGAGGUAGUCAACUCAAAUCAGCCAAAAAAUUGGAAUGACUAUUGAAUUUGGAUGCAAAACUUCGCUAGAAUGCAGUAUAUCGCUCGAAUUUAUAUAUGGACAUCUAUCUAAGUUGCAAAUAAAUAAUGGAUCUAAAACUAGCGAAAAGAGAUCUCUUUCUUUACAAGAGAUACCGAAAUCAGCAGUUUAUUAACCGAUUUAUAAAAUUUCCAUGAUUGUACUCUAUUAAGUAUAACCACCAUCAUCCAUCAACUCAUUUCUGUGAAAUUUUGCAUCCAUAUUCUACAAUUAUUCGAGUUGUUAGACGUACUUACGACAUUAAUAAAGUACAAGGUUGAAAUUAAUGCAAUUUUUCAUGCAAAGGUAAUUGAAGCGCAGGCUAAAGCUCGAGAGGGUUUCUUUGUAAUUUACCCUAAAAACUAACACAAGCAAUCAAACACACUAAGGAGCCAGUUGGUUGAAUAUAAUUGUAAAUAUAGUGUAGUUAGAAAUCUGUACAGAUGGAAAUACAACAGUUAUAACUACAUGCAUCUCGUUUGGAAGCACUACAACUAUAAAUAAGCUGUUCGGUUGUAAGCAGCUGAAAAAGUACGUUUACAAACUUUUAAUUAUAUACGGGAUGGUUCGAUUACUCCCUAUUUUAUUAGAACAAGGUAAUUUUAUAUUAAAAAAGUUAUUAGAAAGUAAGGUUUUCUCUUUUGUUUAAAGUUGCCCUGUCCAAAUCUCCAGCAGUUGAAUUUAAAUGCAGCAUACCAAACCCUAGAUUUGGAUCUGCAUGCGGCGACGACGGCGGUUCAGCUGCAACUAAGCACAACCAAACAGCUUCUGAGUAUAGUUCAAGAACUUCGAAACUACAAAAGUAACAUUUGGACAAAUUAACACCUUUAGCCAAUUGUAAAGUUCACAUUUUUCCCUACUCCACCAGAGUAUUACCCCAAGAAACCCUCCAAAACAACUGUUUUUCACCUCAAUUUUAACAAAUCAACAAGAGGCUUAAUUUCUUACCCUAACCCCAACCCUCUCCAAUCACACAAACAAAUCACUACAAGAAACCAAACCCUAGCCAAACCAGGAGCGAGGGGAGGAAGGGGGUACCAAGCCAUUGCCGCCGCCGCUCGUCGCCGAGGCGAGCUUCGGCGACUCGCCCUCCGCCGCCGCGGAGUCCCUCCGCCGCCGCCGCGCGGCCCCGCGGCUCCCGCCACUACUCUCCGUGACGCUCGACUCGUCCACCGAAUGGUCCCGGUUCCCGACGACCCCGGCGGCGGCGGCGGCGGCGGCGAAUAGAGUUCCCGCGCCCCUCUCCGCCCCGGGCCCGGCGACCGGGACCCCGACCAUAGGGAGCGGUUGCCACAUCUCGGAGCUCGAUCCCACUCACAUAGCUAGGGUUUGAUCUCUCUAUUGCGAUGAUUCGAAGCUUCGAAUAAGAGAGCGUGAGAGUAGAUCUGAAAGAAGAAGCGUGAGCUUGGGACUGACACUGUUACUGAGAGAGAGAGAGAGAGAGAGAGAGAGAGAUCAAAGAGAGUGAAAGGGGGGAAUUAAAUGCAGGUAAAAACGUACACAAGUUACUGAGUUACUGGGCUAUUGAUCAUUUUAAAUUUUAAAUAGCUAUUUAAAUUUUUAAAAAUUUUAUUUUUUAGAUUAAAUUUUAAAUUUUUUAAUUUUAGUUUGACGAUAAUAUUUUAAUUUUAAAAUUUAAACUAAUUAAAUUAUUUUAAUAAAUUUAUAGUUACGAAAAUUAUAUAAAUUAUAUUAAUUGAACCUGCAACGUUGUCUUCAAAUUUUAAGUAUCGAUUGGACUGUAAAAUUUAAUUUUAAAAAUAUUAAAAAUUCCCUUAUGGUUUCGCACUUUUCAUUUUAGUACCUUAUAGUUUAAAGCGUAUCAAGUUAGUAUCUUGUGGUUUCUCACUUUAUCACUUUAGUAUCCUGUGAUUUAAAGUGUAUCAAGUUAGUACUCUGUGAUUUUAUUUUUAUAUCAAGUUAAUACCCUGUGGUUUUAUUUUUGUAUCAAGUUAGCACAGGAUACUAAAGUGAUAAAGUGUGAAACCACAGAGUACUAAAGUGAUAAAGUGCGAAAUCACAUGGUACUAACUUGAUACAUUUUAAACCACAUGGUGAUAAAGUGAAAAAGUGCAAAACCAUAGGGUACUAACUUAAUACACUUUAAAUCACAGAGCACUAAAGUGAAAAAAAGUGAAACCACUGGGGAGAUAUUUGAAGUUUUUUCAAAUAUUAACUAGCUGACUUUAAUGAUCGAUAGUUUUUGUCUUAAAUGUAUUGAAAGUCUGAUAGAAAAAUUGUCGCCUAAAUUAUAAAAUUUUUAUAAUUACAAAAUAAGUUUCAUUUUUUUAAUAAAUUAAUUAAUCAUCUGAGUUCAUAAUUUAUUAAUUUAAAAUAAUUAGUAAUAACUAAAAGGUUAGAAAAAAAAAGCCCAGCAAAGUGCUUUGACUCGGCUGAAUAUAAUAAUUAUAAUAAUAAAUGUUAUUCAAAAAAGUAAUUUUACAUUUUUCGAAAAAAUAUAUAUAGAAGUUAUCUGAAUUAUUAAUCAUUUUGAAUUGGCUAUCCAACCUUAUAAAAUUUUAAAUUUACUAUACAAUUUAUUAAUUUUUUUUAUUUAAGUCAGUCAAAGAAAUUGUUGACUUUAAAAUUAAAAUAUUUUAUUUAUCUUUAUAAAUUUAGUUAAUAUAUUUCAUGCAAUUUUUAUAAUUAUUAAUUUAUUAAAAUAAAUAAUUAGUUUAAAUUAUCAAGUCUAAGCAUUUAUAUGUUAGAAAAAUAUUUGCGUGCAGUUACACUCAGUAUAUAAGGGUAAGAGCAGUAAUAAUUUUCUACAAUAAAUAUAUUUUGCAUUUACUAUUUUACAAUUUAAAUACUUUGUAUUGUACUAUUGUUCCCUUGAUUUAGAAGAGAAUCACUUUUGGUGAGUUCGAGCAGUACAAUACAAUCUGAGUGACGAAAAGUAAUAUUAUUUGUACAUCUCUAAAUUAGCUAUAAAUUUUGCAAUCCAAAAUUUUUUAGUUUUUACUAGUCUCAUUAACUUUUUUUAUACUAAAAUUUAUUCAAAUAUUUGUAACCCUAGAAUAAUAAAAACAUAAAACUUACACCUAUAAGGGUAGCAUUUUUCAACUAUGUAAGUGUUAUAGAAUAUGAAAUAAUCAUUUUUCCUAUAAAAACUUAAGUUAGUAAAGAGUGAUAUUUUUAUAUUUUACUUAAAUCAUAUUUUUGGCUGACAAAUCGACUCUAAUAUUGAAUAUAACGAAUCGACUUACUAGUUUUAAUAAUUCGUUAAGUUUAAACUACUGAUCUUAAAUACUUAACUUAUUAUUCUAGAACUCCUAAUCUAAUCUAAAAUGAACAUAAGAGGCGGGUCAAAAAUUCCCUGGGAUUUAAUUUAUUGUCUAAACUAGAUAUGUUGACUGAUUAAUUAGACUAUUCUAAUUCUUUAUCUACUAUAUUGAAUUCCAUCAAUAAUCGCAGAUGCAAUAAAAGCAAUCCAAUUUGGGAUCUUUACUUUUAUUACAUCUUUCACGGUCGUCUUACAAAGAGUGAUAUAUGAGAAUAUUAAAACCGUUCAAAAUAUUCAAUAUUUCAUAUUUGAUCUGGACCCUAUCCGGACCCUAUUCAGAUCCAUACAAGACACGAUAAAAUAUAAAAUAAUAUACGGAUAAAAGAAUUAUCUAUUAAAAUUUUGGAUAUAGAUCCGGAUACUUUAUACUCGUAUCUGACUUGGACCGGACUCGAAUCCGACCUUUUAAUGUAUAGGGUCCAGAAAAAUUUCCAAAUCCGGAUCUGAAUAUGGACCUGGUAAAAUAUCCUAUAGUAAAUACAAAAAAUUUGAUGUCGAGGGAUCAAUUUUAAUAUAAUUUAUAGAUGAAGGGUUUUUGUGUAUUUUCAUUCUGGUGAAAAUUCUAAUCUCUUUGUUUACUUCUUUUUUAUUUAUUUUUUUAUUUUACUCUUUAUUUUUUUUAACCCUAACUAUAUAAUGUUUGAAUCUUUUUUUUGAAUGAAUUUUAUUGGACUGUGUGCAACUAAUUAGAACGCAAGUUUUUUAUAAUGAGAGAUUUAUGAUUUAUCCAUAUCCCUAUUCGAUCUAGACUUGACUCGUACGCGAUUCAUAUCCGGUCUUAAGCGGGGUAGUAUACGGAUAGUCACUACCGAGACCCAGUCAAAUAGAUCUGACAGGUGCAUUAUUAAUUUAAGUAUUCAGACCUGAACAUGAUCCAAAGUUAAAUAAAUAGGAUAUUUUUUUUCUAUCUAUUUCUUUUAGAGUACGGAUAUAGUAUGUCAACUAUUCAGAUCCGAUCCCGUUUACGGACACUUUAGAGUAUAUGUUGAAUAUGAUAAAAAGUAAAAUUAUUUUUUUUAAAAAAAUUGUAAUUACUUUGCUAUAUAAAUGUAAUAUAAUCAGUCGCAUCCAUCUAUAAUACAUCUUAUAUACCUAACUCACAAACCUUUGUUACAAAGAUUACAAAAUUAGGAUCUGAUUUAUUAGAUGCAUGUUUUUGACAUCAAAUUACCUACUUGUUANGAGAGAAAAAUGUAUAAGGGUAUUUUGGUCAGUUUACUGAAAAAGCGGACCGAAUCUGUAAAAACGAAAAAGGUGGCCCGAUUUUGCAAAAGCCCAAAAUAAGUAAAUUUUUUAUGCAAAAAGGCCUUUAUUUUUUACUAGUCUCAUUAACUUUUUUUAUACUAAAAAUUUAUUCAAAUUUUUGUAAACCCUAGAAUAAUAAAAACAUAAAACUUAUACCUAUAUAUGUGCAAGUAUAAAGAUAGUAUUUUUCAACUAUAUAAGUGUUAUAGAAUAUGGAAUAAUCGUUUUUUUUUUCUAAAAACUUGAGUUGGUAAAGAAUGAUAUUUUUAUAUUUUACUUAUAUUAUAUUUUUGGCUGACAAACCGACUCUAAUAUUGAAUAUAACGAACCGACUUACUAGAAUUAAUAAUUCGUUAAGUUUAAACUACUGAUCCUAAAUACUUUAACUUAUCAUUCUAGAUUUUCUAAUCUAAUCUAAAAUGAACAUAAGAGGCGGGUCAAAAUUUCCCUGGGAUCUAAUUUAUUGUCUAAACUAGAUAUGUUGACUGAUUAAUUAGACUAUUCUAAUUCUUUAUCUACUAUAUUGAAUUCCAUCAAUAAUAAUAGCAGCUGUAAUAAAAGCAAUCCAAUUUGGGAUCUUUACUUUUAUUUCAUCUUUCACGGUCGUCUAAUAUUCGAUAUUUCCUAUCCGAUCUGGACCCUACUUAGACCCUAUCAAGAUCCGUACUAGACCCAAUAAAACAUAAAUAGUAUACAGAUAAAGAAAAUUAUUUAUUAAAAUUUUGAAUAUGGGUCUGGUUACUUUAUACUCAUACCUAACUUGGAUUGGAUUCGAAUCCGACCUUUUAAUGAAUUGAGUCCAGAAGAAUUUCCAAAUUCGGACUUGGAUUCAGAUCCGGUGAAAUACUCGAUAGUAAAUACAAAAAAAUUGAUGUUGAGAGAUUAAUUUCAAUAGGAUUUAUAGAUGAAGGGUUUUUGUAUAUUUUCACUCCGGUGAAAAUUCUAGUCUCUCUGUUUACUUCUUUUUUAUUUUUUUUAUUUUACUCUUUAUUUUUUUAACCCUAGCUGUCUACUGCUUAAAUCUUUUUUUUUUUGAAUGAAUUUUAUUGAACUAGAUGCAACUAAUUGGAGCACAAGUUUUUUAUAGUGAGAGAUUUAUGAUUUAUUCAUAAACUAGUUAAUAAAGUUUGUAAAAAUAUAUGCAUACGGAUAUCCGUUUUCGAUCUAAACCCGACUCGUAUCCGAUCCAUAUCCGGUCUUAAGCGGGUGGCAUACGAAUAGUGACUAUCCAAAUCCGCUCAAAUAGAUUUGAUAGGUGCAUUAUUAAUUUAAGUAUCUAGACCUAAACCUGAUCCAAAAUUAAAUGAAUAGAAUAUAUUUGUUUUUCCUACUCAUUUUUUUUAAGGUACGAAUAUAGUAUAUUCACUAUCCAGACCUGAUCGAGUCUACGGACACAUUUAGAGUAUACGUUGAAUAUGAUAAAAAAUAAAAAUAUUUUUUUAAAAAAAAUUGUAAUUACUUUGCUACAUAAAUGUAAUAUAAUUGCUCGCAUCGAUCUAUGCAACCUUCAUUAUAAAGAUUACAAAAUUAGGAUCUGAUUUAUUAGAUGUAUUUUUUUGACAUCAAAUUAUCUACUUGUUAUUCGCCAUACUUUUCAUUUUUAGGCUAUUUCAUACUUAGGUAAUAAAUUUUUAUUUUUUAUUUUUUAUUUUUUUUGUAACACACCCUUUAUAUAUUAUAACUGAUAUUUUCAAAUUAAUAAAAUUUGAUUUUAUAAUUCAGAUAAGCUCUUACUGUUUUGAAAGAUGAUAUAGAUAAGCGACUGAUACAUUCACAGUACACUGAUGUACACACGAAUUAAAUAUGGGUAAUAAUUGUCACUCAAAAAAAAAAAAAAAAAAAAAAUAAAAANUUGUACAUCUCUAAAUUAGCUAUAAAUUUUGCAAUCCAAAAUUUUUUAGUUUUUACUAGUCUCAUUAACUUUUUUUAUACUAAAAUUUAUUCAAAUAUUUGUAACCCUAGAAUAAUAAAAACAUAAAACUUACACCUAUAAGGGUAGCAUUUUUCAACUAUGUAAGUGUUAUAGAAUAUGAAAUAAUCAUUUUUCCUAUAAAAACUUAAGUUAGUAAAGAGUGAUAUUUUUAUAUUUUACUUAAAUCAUAUUUUUGGCUGACAAAUCGACUCUAAUAUUGAAUAUAACGAAUCGACUUACUAGUUUUAAUAAUUCGUUAAGUUUAAACUACUGAUCUUAAAUACUUAACUUAUUAUUCUAGAACUCCUAAUCUAAUCUAAAAUGAACAUAAGAGGCGGGUCAAAAAUUCCCUGGGAUUUAAUUUAUUGUCUAAACUAGAUAUGUUGACUGAUUAAUUAGACUAUUCUAAUUCUUUAUCUACUAUAUUGAAUUCCAUCAAUAAUCGCAGAUGCAAUAAAAGCAAUCCAAUUUGGGAUCUUUACUUUUAUUACAUCUUUCACGGUCGUCUUACAAAGAGUGAUAUAUGAGAAUAUUAAAACCGUUCAAAAUAUUCAAUAUUUCAUAUUUGAUCUGGACCCUAUCCGGACCCUAUUCAGAUCCAUACAAGACACGAUAAAAUAUAAAAUAAUAUACGGAUAAAAGAAUUAUCUAUUAAAAUUUUGGAUAUAGAUCCGGAUACUUUAUACUCGUAUCUGACUUGGACCGGACUCGAAUCCGACCUUUUAAUGUAUAGGGUCCAGAAAAAUUUCCAAAUCCGGAUCUGAAUAUGGACCUGGUAAAAUAUCCUAUAGUAAAUACAAAAAAUUUGAUGUCGAGGGAUCAAUUUUAAUAUAAUUUAUAGAUGAAGGGUUUUUGUGUAUUUUCAUUCUGGUGAAAAUUCUAAUCUCUUUGUUUACUUCUUUUUUAUUUAUUUUUUUAUUUUACUCUUUAUUUUUUUUAACCCUAACUAUAUAAUGUUUGAAUCUUUUUUUUGAAUGAAUUUUAUUGGACUGUGUGCAACUAAUUAGAACGCAAGUUUUUUAUAAUGAGAGAUUUAUGAUUUAUCCAUAUCCCUAUUCGAUCUAGACUUGACUCGUACGCGAUUCAUAUCCGGUCUUAAGCGGGGUAGUAUACGGAUAGUCACUACCGAGACCCAGUCAAAUAGAUCUGACAGGUGCAUUAUUAAUUUAAGUAUUCAGACCUGAACAUGAUCCAAAGUUAAAUAAAUAGGAUAUUUUUUUUCUAUCUAUUUCUUUUAGAGUACGGAUAUAGUAUGUCAACUAUUCAGAUCCGAUCCCGUUUACGGACACUUUAGAGUAUAUGUUGAAUAUGAUAAAAAGUAAAAUUAUUUUUUUUAAAAAAAUUGUAAUUACUUUGCUAUAUAAAUGUAAUAUAAUCAGUCGCAUCCAUCUAUAAUACAUCUUAUAUACCUAACUCACAAACCUUUGUUACAAAGAUUACAAAAUUAGGAUCUGAUUUAUUAGAUGCAUGUUUUUGACAUCAAAUUACCUACUUGUUAUUCACCAUACUUUUGAUUUUUAGGCUAUUUCAAACUUAGGUAAUAAAUUUUUAUUUUUUAUUUUUUUAAUUUUUUUGUACAUACCCUUUAUAUAUUAUAACUGAUAUUUUCAAAUUAAUAAAUUUUAAUUUUAUAAUUCAGAUAAGUUCUGUACUAUUUUGAAAGUAUGAUAUAGAUAAGCGACGGAUAAAUUCACAGUACACUGAUGUUCACACGAAUUGAAUAUGAGUAAUAAUUGUCACUCAAAUUAAAAAAAAAUGGACUAAUACGAGACACUCUUAACAAUCGAAUACUGGUUUGAGGACUGAAAUGUAAGGUUAUUUAAGUUGAGGGACUGGCAUGCAAUUAUUUAUCCGGCAAGGUUACGUGCGGAGAAAAAUUUUGUCGAGUUGUGUACAACUCACGCACCAGAAGAAGCAGGUGCGUCGCUUUCCUUGACCCACCGGAUGGGUCCAGUCGCACAACUCCAAUUUGGAUCGUUCGCGGAGCUUCUAGAAGAAGCCGAAGCACCAGGUCGGUCUCACCUUGUUAAUGUGAUUUCAACGUUCUAACCUCUCUCUCUCUCUCUUAAAUUGCUGGUCAGCUGACUUGUCAUGCGUAAUUAGAUCUGGCCAUCUCAAUUCAUACCCGCAGAUAUUUACUGAUCAUUUGUAAAUACAACACGAAUAUAAAUACUAAUUCUUUAUUCAAAAUAUUAUGAAUAGAGUUACUGGUACUUGUUAAAUUAUAAGAAUUCUAGAUAACGCGCAGAUAUCCAUAAAUACCUGCAUAUAUAAUAUUAAAAAAGGAGAUGAAAGAUGAAUGAUGAAUGAUUUUUUUGUUUUACCCGUUUCUAAAAUUCUAAAACUAAUUUCUCCUAGUCCCCUUUUUUUUUAUUAUCGGUAGUUUAUUGUGUUGUCUUAAACAAUAAGUUAAAUUUUGAUUGUUUGAAAAUAAUAUAUAUGUUAUUUACGCUUGAAAAGGAUAAGAAUAGAAAGGGGAAAAAGAGUACUUUGUGGGUAACACGUAUACUUGCCCGGCCAUUUGUGGCUGGAUAUGGAUAAUGAUGAUAGAUAUCUAAAAAUUUGUAGGUAAGUUUGACUCACGCGCGCUUAAUCAGCGAAUACGAUGACCUGCCCACGAUUUGCUUAACCUACCUGUUUGCCAAGUCUAUAAAAAAUUACAAGAGGUAUAUUAUAUCUUUUUUAAAGUAUUGUAAUCAAAUCGCAUAGCCUAAUUUAGUUAUUUAAAUUUUGAUGUGCCGCUAAUGUGAAAGAACACCUUAAUUAUUACCAAGUCAUUAAACAUAAUGUUAUUGCAUCACUUUUAAUUAAUAACACAUAAAUAUUUAGUCAACUAAAUUAAGUUGUAGGAUUUGAUUGCAAUAAUUCAGAAAAUUCAAGCCGAAAAAUACAAUAAAUUAAAUUUUAAGGACCAAAAAUGUAGUUUACCCUAAUUAUAAAUAUAAUAUAAUCUUCUAUAAUCUAUAACUAUCUAUACUCUAUCUAUAAUCUAUAAUAUAUAACUAUCUAUUAAUUCUCAAUAAUUUACAGACGUGGCAUCACUAUCUUCAUUCUUGGGAGUGGGUCCCAUCUACCAGGUUCUCUUUUAUAUUAAGUUCUGUUUUGUCGCCUUAUCUCUUUCGAACCGAUUUUUCUUUUCAAUUGGUUCCUUUUGAACCUGUUAUUUUUCUCCGUUGAACCAAUUUCACUAUCUCAUAUUGCUUUAUUCUUUUAAACCGAUCAUUUUUCCUUUGUUAUUUUUUUUUGAGAAAAAGAUAGCACACUACCCGCUUCAUUCAUUGAUUAGGUGAAUUAAGCUACAAGUGGGGGCAACCAGGCCCCGAAAGAGGGCGAAAAAAAAAGACAAAAAAAAGAGUUGAGGCUCAAGCAGAAGGUCCCACUCCUUCACGAGCAGCUUGAUUCUGUGGGCCGCCAGCCCUGGGUUAGGAAGGAUAUUCCAAAAGAUUGUGUCGUUUCUGACUUUUCAAGUAAUCCACCAACAUCCUACUAGAUCUGUAAGUCUGGUUCGCUUCUUUUGGUGAUCCUUUCUGGCCAUCCACCUAUCCCAUACUAGAUUCACGUCGUCCCCCAGAUCUUGGACUUGAAUGUCUUCCACCCCUGUCACUAAGAUAAACUUGCAGAAUACACACCGGGUGAACAGAUGAUCCGCUGAUUCCUCGUCCGACCCGCAGAGCACGCAGGUAGGAUCAUCUAACCACCCUCGCUUGAUAAGCCUAUCUCGUGUGAGAAUCCUUUUCUUGAGGACCAACCAGAUGAAAACUUUUACUUUUAAAGGGAUUUUAAGACUCCAUAUGCGGAUAGCUCGAGCAUCUCUCGUCCCGCCAUCCAUCAAUACCAAAUAGGUCGAUUUGACCGUAAACUAUCCAUCAGUACUCUAACGCCAAAGUAUCAUGUUCGGUCUUUGCUCGACGGUGAAGCUGGAGACCUGUUCUUCGAGUUCCGAGAUGCUCGGUAUCAGCCCUUGUAAUUGGUCCACCUCGAUUCCCAGGAUCUUGGUCCAGUUCCAAUUACCCAUCGUAAAGCAGUCGUUUACUCUAGAAUUUUUCCCCUCGGACAAAAGGUAAGCUUCCGGGAACAAAAGGUUCAACAUUUUCUCCCCACACCACCGAUCCUGCCAGAAAUCGAUGGUACUCCCGUUUCCUAGAUUAAAAGCCGCUCCCCAUUCAAAAAUAAAACCUCGAUGGAGCCUCUGUUCAGGUUGGAGCAUUUACUAAACCCAACCUCUCACUUGCUCCUCCCCCCGCUCUAAGGUCCAUCGAUGGAACCCCGAAGCUUACUCCGUUGAUGCUCAACAGUAAAGACUUCCUUGUGCUUUUGAUAGGUGCUCUUUCCUAAUGCAGCUAAUGUCACCUCAUCUUCAUCUUUACUGCUGAUGGAGCCCCGAAGCUUACUCCGUUGCUGCUCAGCAGUAAAGACUUCCUUGUGCUCUUGGUAGGUGCUCUUUCCUGAUGCAGUUAAUGUCACCUCAUCUUCAUCUUUACUGCUAUAGACCUUCAAUAAUUCACCACCUACCUCGUCUGCCCAAGAGAUCCGCUUUAGGAUUUUUUUAUCCUUCCCUACUCGAUUUCUCGCUCUGUUCCGCACGCAGGAACUUAAUUUCUCCUGCCAUCCCACGCCAAGUCUACUUCUGCUUGUCUCACCUACAUCAAGGCUUUUCGGUAGCGUCGACAUUUUCCCCUCUAUAUGAUAAUAACUUUUGACCCGUAAAAUUUUAUCUAAUUUUUCUCUGGCGCUCCUCCUUUCUUGCCCGGAAUCUUAGCAUCCCUUUCAGCAUCUUCCGAAUUCUUCUCAUCCACAAUUUUUUUUUUCUCUCGUUUAUGAUGUUGGUACUGUUGGAACCAAAUUUAUUAUUAUUUUUCUUAUGUUGAACUGAUUUUUCUUAUCUCCUCAUUCUUGGGUUCAAUUCAUCUUCUCUUUCCUACAUUGACUAAAAAUGGAUAAAAAAAACUCAAAUUUUCAGUCUUCUCUACUUUUCUCGUUGUUUCAUCUUCUCUCCCUAAUUAAUAGUUUUGUUGAUUAUCUCUUUUUUUCUCGCUUUUUCGUCUUCCCUCCUAAAUAAAUAUUUUUCGGUUUACUCUUCUUUUCUUGAUGUUUCGUCUUCUCUUUGCAAUUAAUAUUUUUAUCUACUAUAGUGCUCCAACCGUCUUCUCCAUUCCAUCAUUCCCACUCCCAUCUCUCCUCUCUCUCUCUCCACUCAUAGCCUUUCAACUACAACCUUUACCUCGCCUUACGCGCCCUCGAUGAGGACGGUGACAAUGUUUAUACUAUCACCAACUGUUCCAUCCCUUAUCUCUCUCUCUCCUCCCUCAUCCCCUUCUAUCUCCCUAAAUUUUUUAUAAUUAUCCAUGACUGACGUCGAAGCCCUACAGCAACAUCACCGCCACCACCUCUACUCCUCACAUUUCGAGAGGCGACUGUCGUCAUUGAGGUCACUUGGAAGAAGGUAAACCAACACAUCACCAAGAUCAAUGAUAUUUUUGCCUUUAGCCGUUGCAAUGCGGUGGGAACACUAGGCUCCGCCUCCAUUGCCUUCGACACCACACUUUUCAAGGCCACCAUAGACGCCAUGAUGAGAUAAAAAAUAUGAGCAAUACUUCAAUACACUAUGUAAAUCUUGACCAUUUAUUUUUUUAAAUAGAUGGUUGAGAUAUAAUAUAAUUCAAAAAGCGACCUACUAUUCUAGCAUAGGUAUCAUUCACCAGGUACCUAUUUAAAGGAUAUUUUGAUCUUAAAAAAAUAUUUUGGCCUACAAAAUUGGUUUUAUCCAACUAAGAAUACUCUAACCUUUUCAAAUACCUACAACAAUAGUUGGAAUUCAAAUUACAACUAAAUUGUAAAUUUAAAUACAAAACAACAUAAAAAAACAAUUAUAAAUCAAAUUCAACUUUUAAAUAUAAAACACAAAUUUAAAAGAAAACUUUCAGUUCAAAUUCAAAAUUUUAAUUUAAAUCAAAAAUUAAAAUUUGGCUUUCAGAUUAAAAGUGCAAUGUAGAUUCAAAAUUUAGAAGUUUAAUAUAAAUUUUGAAAUUAAAAUUUUAUAUUACAAUACCAACUUCAAAACUUAAAUUUAAAUUCAAUAUUUUUUUGAAUUGGAUAAUAAAUUGGGUAUUAUCUAAUUUGGUAAAUAAGAUACUUAAUAUUAUAGGAUGCUAUCAAAUUUGGUAUACACUACUAUUUUUUUUUUCAUUAUUGUCAUAUUAACUAAUUUAAAUCGGUAACCUGUGCAAUAGGUUAUUUUAUGUAAAAUCCAACUAUACCUUUUACUAAUUAAGAGUUUGAUUUUAAUACUUAUGGUGUAUUGAAGCAUUGCUCAAAAAGCAUUUAGAUUCGUCCGACUUUUAUCGGGUAUUGUUAUUUUUCUUUAUCUCCUUCCCUCUUUUCUUUUUGGGUUAGUCAAUGAUAAUUUUUCUUUGCAUAUUUUGUAUUCUAGAUUAUUUUUUUUUUAAUUUUGACCCGCCGCAUCGUAUGGAUUCCUACACUACUUAUAUAUUCAUAUAGAAAGAGAGUAAACCUAGAUAACUUCUAGAAGUAGAUUAGAGCACUUAUUUUUGAAUCAUUUCUCAUGAUGAAGUAUUCGAAUUAACAAUUGACACUAUUAAACUUAAUCUAGAUUAUUUAAAUUAUUUAGAGUUCGAAUUUUAUAAUAUUUUGAUAUUAUUCACCUAUUAUUUAAGUGGUCUUCAAAUUAAUUAUUUUUAAUAGAUAAUAAAAAAAAGCAAGACCACUUGAUCACUUGGCUAACAAUGUAAAAAAAAAUAAAAAAAAUCGAGUCUUAUAAAUUUUAAAUAGUAUAGAUUAUGUUAAUAGUGCCAUACAAUUAUUCUAGUUUUACUCUCUCUUCCCCUCUCUAUGUAUAUAUAAAAUAUAAUAUAUGGCUAAAUUUGUAGCAAUUAUGAUUACUUUUUGUAACAGGAAAUCCGAAUGGAUAACUAGUAUAAAUUAUCUUACAUUAGUUGCUAAAAGUUAAUAAUUUUGAAAUCACUUAAUUACUAGAUAAAUAAUGUCGAAAAUAAAUUUAAAUUUCUAAGAGAUUCAAAUAUGCUUAUCUCAUGGAAAUUUCUUCUUUUUUUUUUUUUUGUUUAUGUUUAGUUGAUUGAAUAGGUAAGACUAUAUUUAUACCUCAUGUAAAGUUAUUCUCUUUGAACCUUAUACUCGAAGAUGUGAUCAUGAAUUAGCAUGAAUUAUCUGAAGCAAUUAGAUAUUUGUUUUUGUAAUUUCAACUAUAAUAGUUGGAUGCUAAUAUAAUAGUGUAAAUAAUAGAUUUAAAUUUAUAUAUAAUUAAUUCUGCAAUGUAAUAACAACCACCAGAGAUGCAAAUGGAUUCAGGUUAGAGGAGCUCUCGCUCAGAUUGAUUCCUAAUGGGUGGUAAGUGAGAACCAACAAUAUAGAAAAAUAUAAUCCGUUCCGAAUCCGUCCUAAUCUGCUAAUAAAAUAUAGCAGAGACUCCUUUCCUCUUUUGUUCUGUCCUAAUAUGUUAAAAAAUUGUAAAAAAAUCACUCUCGUCCUCAUCGGCCUCGAAUGAAGUAGUAAGUGGAAGCUCAAAAUAAAAUAAAGGGGCAAUUGCUUAUAUAUCCCUGAAAAGUUUCCGACUUUCUAAUUUACCUCUCUGCUAAUAUAAAAAAUAUAUUUUCUUACGUUCCAACCUAUUUCAAAUAUACUAGAGUUAAAUUCUAUUAAUGAACUGUUAACAAUAGUUAUUAUCUCUAUGAAAUUACUAUUUUGCCUUUUCAAAUAUAUUAUUUUACCAUCACCGACUUUUUUUAUUUGCCCUUAAGUUAGGGGCACAAAAAGUAUUUUGAUUUUCGGUCUUUUCAAAUAUACAUUUGUACCAUCACAAAUAUUUCUUAGUUGCUCUAAGGUUAAGGGCAAAAAAGUUAUUUUGAUUUUUUUUUUUUAACUCCGGUAGAUAUUUAACUCACAUUUAAUUAAAGUUAAAAUUAACUUAACGGAUGGUAACAAUAGGAAUAUUUUGGAAUAACGGCGGAAGGUAUAUUAGAAAGAAAAUAACUAGGAAUAAAUAAGAUAUUUUUAAAAUUUUGAGAAAUAUAUAGAUAAUUAUUUCUUAAAUAAAAAUUAAGCCGCGCUGAAUCCGCUCCGAUCCAAUAAAAAAUAGGGCGAGAGGUCGGUGAGUGAGGUUUUCGGGCCAAGAUUUGCUCUGUUUGUGUACCCAGCAGCUGCACAAAUAAAAAGCAUUUUGUCCCACCAAACCUUUUGACAAUAAAAAUGCUUCAGCUGGAUACCAAAAGUAUACCAGAAAGUGUACUAUUGCUGGAAUUUUAGGUGUUGGCAGGUAUAUUUACCAUCAAAUUAACAAAGUAUAUUGGCCGAAUUUUUUGAAAUAUCUGGAGAAGCAUAUAUAUAUAUAUAUAUAUAUAAUUAAACUGGAAUACUAUUAAUAGUAAAACGCUCUUUUUGCUAUCAAGUUUUUAACCCUUGGAUGAAAAAUCGUAGGGUCAGGAUGAUAUUAGUCGGUUAGAGUUGAGUGGUCCCCCUAGGGUUGAGUGGUCCCCACUGGGUUAUAGUAUUUAAUUCGAUGGUUAAAAAUAAUGAAAAGAGUUGAUCCAAAGGCUAAAAAACCGAUAGCAAUAAUGGGAUUUUGCUACUAAUAGUAGCCCAGUCCAGCUCUAUAUAUAUAUAUAUAUAUAUAUAUAUAUAUAUAUAUAUAUAUAUCAGGGUUGCUGUGCUUUCAGGAGCACGAAGGUCUCCGUGCUCCUAAGCCGUUUUCGAUGAUGGAGUUUCCGAAUCGACGAUCGGCUCUAUUAAACUUGAUCUAACAUAUUUGAAGUUUUUAGAAAAUAAUUUUUGCGAUUUUUCGAUAUCAUUUACCUAGCAAUCGAAAGGAUUCAAAAUCAAUAAUUUUUAACAGCUGAAAAUAAAAACCCUAUAAAAAGUAGUGAUAUAGCACUAAAAUUUUCGAUAAAAAAUAUUGACCUUGUUGUAGAUAUUAUAAAGAAUUUUGUAUCAAAAUUUCAUCUGAUUUGAAUACUUUUACACCGUUAAACUUGAAAAACGGCAGAUAUCAACCAUCAAAAAUUAUGAAUUUUGAAUCCUUUCGAUCAUUAGGUAAAUGAUAUCAAAAAAUCGCAAAAAUUAUUUUCUAGAAACUUCUAAUGCGCUAGAUCAAGUCUAACGGAACCGAUCGUCGAUUCAAAAAUUUCAUCAUCGAAAACGGCUCAAGAGCAGGGAGGCCUCCGUGCUCCUAAGAGCACAACAGCCCUGCUCUCUCUCUCUCUCUCUUUCUCUCUCUCUCUCUCUCUCUCUCUCUCGGUGUUCAUCUUGGUUAAAUGUAAUAUACUUAGCCCUACUACUUAUCAUUAACAUGCAAUGUGUCAUGUUUCCUUUUAGUAAUGGCAAGUAUACAAAAUUGCCAUUAAAGUUCUAGUCCAAUAGUUUUACUAGNAUAUAUAUAUAUAUAUAUAUAUAUAGAGUAGAGCUAGAAUACUUGUAAAAGUAUCAUCCAAGUGAUACUUGUGUGUUUUUAGCCCUUAGAUGGAGAGAUGUGAGGUUGAGAUGAUGGUGGUAGGUGGUGGUAGGUGGAAUAGUGUUUAAUCCAAGGACUAUUAAUAAUCAAAAAGUAGAUCCAAUGGCUAAAAAUACACAAGUAUCACUUGGGUGAUACUUGUAAAAGUAUUCUAGCCCUACUCUAUAUAUAUAUAUAUAUAGUCCGGCUACUAUACUCUUAUGAAUACGAUCGCCUUCGUACUCAUAAGUUGUUUUUAAUGAUAGAGCUUCCGAAUCGACUAUUCAUACCGUUAAAUAUUUUCUAAAACAUUUAAAAUUUCUAGAAAUCAAAUUUCAUAAUUUUUCGAUAUCAUUUACCUUACGAUCAAAAGCUCACAAAAUUGACAAUUUUUAACAGCUGGUAUGAAUUAUUUGCUAGUUUAAUGGUGGAAAAAAAUCGGAAUAGGUUGAAUUUUUGAUAGAAAAUUCUAUUCGCUAUCUAGAUAAAAAUCAGUAACUCCAAUUUUAAAUUGAAGGAUUCGAUCAUCCAUUUUUAGGACGUCAUUCGAUUUUGACCGUUCAUUUUAUGCUCGUUUGAUGAACUUUAUUAUAAUUUUGAAAAAUUACGAAAUUUAUUUUUUAGAAGUUUGAAAUACUCUAGAUCAUAUUUAACGGAAUGGAUCGUCAACUCGGAAGCUCUAUCAAUGAAAACAACUUAUGAGUACGAAGGGCCUAAUACUCAUAAGAGUAUAGUAGCCAUACUCUCUCUCUCUCUCUCUCUCUCUCUCUCUAUAUAUAUAUAUAUUAUAUAAUAUAUAUAUAAUUGAGCUCCUAACUGUUAAAAGUACCGGUCAAGUCAUUGGUGCUUGUAAGUUCGGCCCUUGGAUUACAAGAUGUGCGUUUAGGCAUGAUGUGGGCCUCUUAGUUUGAGUGGGUGUUAUUGAAUAGUAUAAUAUAACGGUAAAAAUGAUCAAAUAUAGAUCUAACGGUAAAAAAAUUACAAACACCAUGCUUGGUUACUUUUACAAAGCACCAUAGUCUGGACACUAUAAUUAUAUAUAUACUAUAUAAUAUACUACUAUAUGUAUAUAGUAUAUAUAUAGUAUAUAUAUAUAUAUUAUAUAUAUAUAUAUCAUGCACUAUAGCUAUCAAUAGUACUACCAAGCCCUUGGUAAUAUUGAAUUUCGGCCGUUGGAUGAAUAGAUGUAGCGGUGUAGGAUGAUAGUGGUCCCAGUUAAAUGCUAGUGGUCCCGCUAGGGUUGAGUGGGUGGUUGGUAUUAUAUAGAUAUAUCAAUGGCUUAAAUGAUCAAGAGGUAAGUCUAAGUAGAAAACUCAUAGUGAUAAAGGGACUUUGUACUAUCAAUAGUAAUAGGUAGCCGACGUCUAUAUAUAGUUAUACUAUAUAAUAAUAUAUAUAUAUAUAUAUCUAUACUAGGAUACUAUCAUAUAUAAGACAUAUAUAGAGUUGAGCUGAAUAUCUCUCGAAAAUAAACGAGUCCGAUUACUCUUCAGAGUUGUUCUCGAAUUAGAGCUUCCAAAUGAGAUCGCUGCCGUUGAAACAUGAUUUAUACCCACUUGAAGUGUUUAGAAUCAACAUUCCAAAUCUUUUCGACAUCAUUUUGCCUAGAUACCACAAGAGGUUUCAACAAUUUAUAAUUUUAAUGGUGGAAAAGACGUUUCCUCGUUUAACGGUGUGAAAGAUAUCGCCAAUCAAUUGAAUUUAGUUAGAAAAUCUUUAAACUAUUUAAAACAAAAUCUAUAACUCUGUAUCUUGAAUACAAGACUCCUACAUCAUUUUUAAAAAAUAUUCAUUGUCAGCCAUUCUUUUUCACUGUUCACCUAGAGGAUAUAUAAAACAAUAUCCGAAGGCGUGAAAUUCUUAUUUGUAGUAGUUUUAAAUGUUUUAUGAUAUAUUAACAAGGAGCGAUCGUUCAAUCUGAAAGCUCCAUGCAUGCGAAAACAACUCGAGAUAAACAGCUCGUUUACUCCGAGAGAUGUCAGCUCGAAAAUUCUAUGAUAAUAUAUAUUAUAUAUAUAUAUAUAUAGCUGAGGCUAUUAUACUCAUCGAUGAGCUAUAGAGCCCACUUUGUACCAUAAUUUUGGCCCGUUCAGAGUUAGAAAAAAUGUCUUGAGAUUAGAAAAGUGCUUAACGUUAGGUUGAUAAGUGGCCCCCUAGGGUAAUGGGUGUGGCUUGAAUAGUAUAAUCUAAUGGGGAUAGUAUGUAAAAGGUAGAAUCAAACGGAAAAAUUUUGAGUACAAAAGCUCUGUACUCAUAAGAGUAAGUAGCCGAACUAUAAUAUAUAUAUAAAUAUAUAUAUAUAUAAUAAUAUUAUAUAUAUGAUAUAUAUAUAUAUAAAGAAAUCUAAACUACUAAUAAUCUAUAUAGNNNNNNNNNNNNNNNNNNNNNNNNNNNNNNNNNNNNNNNNNNNNNNNNNNNNNNNNNNNNNNNNNNNNNNNNNNNNNNNNNNNNNNNNNNNNNNNNNNNNNNNNNNNNNNNNNNNNNNNNNNNNNNNNNNNNNNNNNNNNNNNNNNNNNNNNNNNNNNNNNNNNNNNNNNNNNNNNNNNNNNNNNNNNNNNNNNNNNNNNNNNNNNNNNNNNNNNNNNNNNNNNNNNNNNNNNNNNNNNNNNNNNNNNNNNNNNNNNNNNNNNNNNNNNNNNNNNNNNNNNNNNNNNNNNNNNNNNNNNNNNNNNNNNNNNNNNNNNNNNNNNNNNNNNNNNNNNNNNNNNNNNNNNNNNNNNNNNNNNNNNNNNNNNNNNNNNNNNNNNNNNNNNNNNNNNNNNNNNNNNNNNNNNNNNNNNNNNNNNNNNNNNNNNNNUCAAACACUAUUCCCCUACACACCACCUUUACACUCAUGUCUUCAACCUCAAUCUUCCAUCGAUAGCUAAAAACUCAAAAGCACACUCACAUAAUCUUUUACAGUAUUUUAGCAUCAACUAUAUAUAUAUAUAUAUAUAUAUAUUAUAUAUAAUAUAUAUAUUAUAUAUAUAUAGAGUUGAUCUAGGAUACUUUUACAGUAUAUCUCCAUGUUGCUAUCACGUUUUAGCCAUUGGAUCUACUUUUUGAUUACAAAUAGUCCCUUGGAUCAAUCACUAUUCCACUACCACACCUACCACCCAUCAUCUACAACCUCGAAUCUCUCCAUAUUCCAAGGCGCUAAAACACAAGUAUCAUUGGUGAACUUUGGUAAAGUAUUCUAGUCCCUACGUUCAUAAUAUAUAAUAUAUAUAUAUAUAUAUAUUAUAGUUUUAUUUAUAUAAAUAUCUAUAUUACUAUAUAUAUAACUAGAUGGAAGAUAUCAAAAAGCACCUGAGGUGCUAUGAUUUUUAGCCUUAGAAUUGAGAAAUGGAUGGUUAUGGAUGAUGUGGGCCCUAUAGAGUUGAUGUAGUGCUGGUGAAUUAGUAUAAUCAACGAGAUAAAAUAAUUAGGAGGUUCAAAUCUACGGUGGGAAAAACUCGAUAUAUAACACAAAUCCUUGGUGCUUUGUAGAUACCCCAGGCCGGACUCCUCAUCUCUCUUCAUCAUCCGUCUCUUCUCUCGAUCAUCUCUCUCUCAAUAUUUAUAUUAAUUUAUAUAAUAGUAUAUAUCUAUAUAAGAGAGAGAGAGAGAGAGAGAGACGAGGAGGAGAGAGAGAGAGAGAGAGGAAGUCGAAUGCUAGUGCUUUAUAGCGCGAGCACUUAGUAACAUCAAGAUUUUCCGCCGUUUAAGAUAUACCCCUUUUAAUCAUUUUCACCCGACUUAGGACAUAAUUAUUCAACCAACCAUAUACCAACUUAAAGGGCGCCACUAUACCUAACCACAAUCUCUUAUCAAGUGGCCAAAACUGUUAGUCACAUUUAUUAAUAGUAUAUUCCGAAUAUAUACUAUAUAUAUUAUAUAUAUUAUAUACUUAUACUAUAUAUAUAUAUAUAUAUAUGACUAACGUGGAAUACUAUUUAAUUAGCCACCAAUAGCUUUGUGCUUAUUAAUUUUUUAAAUCCUUGGAAUGAGAAAUAUAUAUAUAUAUACUACCUACCAAGUUAAUUAUGUUUACAAAACUUUUCUAACCAACAUUAUUCUGUAAUAUUAUUUAUGCUUGUGCCAUUGUGUAAAGUUGCCAAUGAAGAAAUAUUAAUAUGUUCGUUCAGCAACAGCACUAUUCAUAUAUCUCACAACUUUUUUUUUUUUUAGAAUUGGAAGAGCAUUUUUCUGCUAGAAAUUUCUUUACUGGAGCUUAAACAGGCACAUGCCAAAGCUGGGUGUGCCUUUUUUCACAUAGGCUUAUUAUUCUAUCAUCAAAUAAUUUUUACACCAUUUUAAAUUUUCUAUCCUGAUUAUUUGAAAUAAUUUAAUAAACUAUUCCGUACUUUUGAUGGAAUAUUUGUCUAAGAAUUUAAUGUCCAAACUUUAUUUAGAUUAUAAAUUGAAAGCAAAUUAUGUAGGCAUGAUAAUUACAUAUUAUAUUAAAUUAGUUGUAUCAUAAAGAUUAUUAAGUACAUUAUAUUAAUAUUAUUUUUAAUACUUAAAUAUGUAUAAUAAAUAACAUUUAUUAAAUAUUAAUAAUAAAUAUUUUAUAUCAAUAUACAAUCAAGUACUUUUCUCAUUAUUUUUUACUAUUGAUAAAAACUAACAGAAGCUAUAACUUUUAAUUUUUUUUAAAUAAUAAUAUUUUAAUUAAAUAUAAUUUUAUUUUUAUUUUUAAUAUUUCGAAAUAAAAAAGUACUGCAGAGUUGUUUUUUUAUUUCCAAUAUUUAUUAUUACUGCAACAAACUGCUAGUUAUAGGGAUACAGAUGGAUCGGCUGUUGUGCGAGUUCCGUCCGAUCCGCCAAAUGGAGGCGGUAAAUAGAAACAAAAAAAUAUAAGAAAAAUUAUGUCUCGAAUUCUCUAAGAUUAAAUCGAGUUGGGAGGCGGGAUACUUUCUUAACCUUUACUAAUCCGUACUCGAUCCGUUAUAAAAAAUCCGCCACAUUCGCAUCCAUUUCCGGAUCUGUCGAAUGGCGGUAGUAUGAGACAAAAAUAAUAAUAAAAAAUAAUUCGUUACUGAAUCCGUUACUACGCUUCAGAUUAUAAAUAAGCGGGAGAUUGAAAAACUCACUCUAUUAUGAAUCCGUCACUGAAGAUUAUAUUCGGGUUUAUCCGCGAAAAAAGCUUCCAAUAAAAUCCCGGAUUGUACAGUUAGUAACAGAAUAACUAAAACUGAGAUUAAGGACAUUGAAUUUUAUUUUAAAUUUUUUUUUGAUCUUUAAUUUUUUUAAUUUUUUUUUAAAUUUUUUUGCUUAGUAGAUAAGACAAGGUUCUCAAUUGCGAGCGGGGAAAGCGACCGUUCUUCCCCGUCCCUACCACGGGCAAAUUUUCUGUAUACGCCUCUAAAAAGUAGUAAAUUGCACACUCAUCAUAGCUUUUAAAUUAGGGCGUAACUGGUUUCUUAUGUAUUUAUUUUUCUUUUCAAAUAUACUUUUAUAUAUUUGUUAUUAUUUUAAAAUAUCUUGUACAAGUAUAUCCAUUAAGUAAUUUGAAUUAAUAUCUAUUAGAAGUUUAAAAAAUCAAAAUAACCCUCUUUUAUCUUUAAAACUUAAUAAGAUAAGCAAAAAAUAAUUUGGUGAUGAUAAAACGUAUAUGGAAAAGACCAAAAAUUAAAAUACUUUUUAGCGUCCCUAACUUAAGGACAAAUAAAAAAAUUAGUGGGGAACUGGUAGAAGGUAUAAUUGGAUAAGGCGUAAAAUAAAUAAGUUCAUAUAGCUGCUGAACAAUUUAUUAACAGAAUUUACUUUAUUGAUAUAGUGUGAAUAUGGUUGCGAACAUAAAAAGAUAAUUUUCACAAUAUUAGCUUCUAAGAGAAGUAAAUCAGAAAAUCGAAAACUUUUUAGGGAAUUAUUAAACAAUUGCCCCUAAUAUAUUAUAGCGAUAAUUUCAUUACUGCUUCCUAGUAACAUAUUGAAAUACAUAUUUUAUCUACAGAGUUUAACUUUCCAUCUUUAUUCUGUUAAAACUCCAGUGAUAUUCUAUUUGUUACUCUAGUUGUUGUUGUUUAGGCAAACUGUUUAUUUUUUAAUAGAAGAUAAAGCUAAAAUAUUAAUUUUUAAAUCAAAAUAGUAAUCCUCUAAAGCCUCAACAUGUUGGAAUCUAUAAAAUAUAUCCUUCCAAAAUUUCACACGGUCGUCUUCCUUUUUCUACCAUCACACAUAAUAUAAGUAACAAUUCAAUGUAUUACUAAUCAGACCGUUAAAAAUUUUAAUUGAUGUUAAACUAUAUUUUUAUAAGGGAUCCUAACAGUUAGGAGUAUAUUUAAACGUUAGCGCUUUAGCAGCAUACAUAUGAAAAGCGACUUUAUACAACAAUAUUAUUUAUCAUUCGAAUGUUUAUAGAGAGAUUGUAUGUAAUAACCUUAUGUAUAGCCGGUUAAUAUCAUUCAUAGCAGAUAAUAUAUUAAUUCUAUAUUACGCAUACAUGUCUAAAGAGCUAAAUUUAGUACAGGAGAGCUGUAUAUUGAAUUAAACCUUAUUAUGAUAUUUAAAGAGCUAAUAUUAAUAAUGUCUGCUACGACUUUAUCUUAUCUAUGCAUUGCUGUUACAAAUUUUUUUCUUUCAUAUUUUAAUUUUACAGCCAUUAAAUUAUAAUUUUUAAGUUCAAAAAUAGGACAUCAGAAGUACCAAGAUAUGAGAGGUGAUUGAAAAAUAAAAGGGAAAAUUCAAACAAACCCCACUGUGGUUUCGUAGUUUUUCACUCUUGCCGGUCCUCUAGUUUAAAGUGUAUCAAUUUGCCCUUAUGUUUCAGUUUUAUCUUUUUCGGUAGCUUUUAGUUUAUAUUCGUUAAAUUUUACAAAAAACUUUAGAUUACACAUCUUAGAUUAUCAAUAAUACUUUAGUACCUUUAAUUUAAUUUAUUUAAUGAUUUAAGCAAAAAAAAAUAAUAAAUUGAUUAAAGAAAAGAAAAAUAAACCACAGGGGGCAAGCUGUAAAAUACGAAACAGCGGGGGUUUUUUUGAACAGUUUUUCUAAAAAAAAAAUUUAUUAGUUGUAGUAGAUAUUAAGUAAACUAGAUACAGGAAUAUUGCCUUUACUUUAACUCGAUUUCUCUUUUGUAAUUGGAUUUUCAUGCUAAAAUAAACUUUUAUUUUUAGUUCUAAUUUAAAAAAUUAAUUUUUUAUUAUUGUAUAAUUAUUAUAUUUUAUAUUUGUUUUUCUGAAAAUCUCUCACUAGACUAGUAGGAAAAAAAUAUUACCGGUACUUUAUUUUUCUUUAUGAUUUAUCUUUUUUUUUUCUCGCCAUAGUCAAUUACGUUUUUUUUAAAAGUGAUGCGGUGAGUUACGAAAAAAUUGUGUCACGAUACACCAAAUAAUAAAAAUGGAGAAUUACGAUUGACAAUAACUCCACUCUCCUCCAAUUUUAGUUGUACCAACUAUGCCUUAAGCUUAAUAACUAGAACAAACAUGUUUAAAAAUGAGAAAAAAAUCUUAUUAAAAUGUUAUGGGUCUUGUAUUCGAAUUCCAAGUUUGUGAUCAAAAAGCUGAAAUCUCGAUGAUAUUUGAGGGAUCUAGUAAGUGUAUAUUUACCCUUCAAAAAAGCCAACCAAUCAGCUGCGUUUGCGUUGCUUGCGAUAAAAAACAGCAUCGAUCGAAAAUAAUGAAUUCUGCAGCCAUAUAUAAAAAUAUUCCAAACAUUAUUCACGGCCACGCAUUUCUUUCUUUAUCAUAGACGUUCAGGAUUGCAAUCCAGACGGACUCGGAAUCAUCAUUAAUAGUGACGCAAGACACCAAAAUUAAUGACAAGUAAGAUAUUUAGAAAACCACGGAAAUCUCGAAGGAACACGUGGAGCAUGCAGUAGCAAAGACGAGUUGUGGAUCUUUCGCUAAAUUCAAAUAGGAACGAGGUAUUCUCUUUGAGUAAUUCAAAACAAACGUACAUUUCCUUUACCCCUUUUUGAGCUCGAGCCCGAACAAAUGUAAGAAAAUUCGUUUUAAAAUCGAAAGGUAUAUGUAUAGUCCUUCAUGCUGACUACACGACAACAGCAUAUCCCGGUCCCUUCGGCUCGUCAUGUUUUUAGUUUUCGUUUAUUAGUCGCAACCUUAUAUUUAUAUUAUAUUUUUAAAUAAAGCUAUGAAUGUAUUACAUUAAAAAGGCCGUUUAUUUCUGACAAAAACGGUCCUUCGAAUCAACAGUAACAAUAUUUUAAUUAAUAUUUAUAUUAUUUUAAUAAUUAUUAAUCUAAUAUUUUAUAUGAAAAUUAAUGUUUUUUAACGACCAAUAUAAACUGCAUUUGAUUAUAAAAUUUUUUUAAACUAUAGAAAAUAAGUAAACAUUGAUUAAUUAAUUUUAAAAAUAUUUGUUACAUAAGAAAAUUUAAGUUUUUGAUAAUUCAAAAAUAUGUGUUCAAGAUAAAAAAAUAAAAGGAAGUUACAAUAUCAGGAGUACAGGGACUAUUCAUACACUUUACCCUAGUUUUUUUUUUCUCAGGAUAGUACAGGGACUAUUCAUACACUUUACCCUAGUUUUUUUUUUCUCACAUUCAAAAUUGGGAAAUUAGAAUAAUUAAAAAAAUAUAUUAAAUAUAAAUUUUUAUUUUAUGUAACACUAAUCCGCUCUAUCAUCAUUCUCUCUCUUCUCUCUUUCUCUCUCUAGAAGAGAGAAAAAGGAAUCCACUCCACCCGACCCUGUCCCGGUCCUCUCCGAUCGCUUUCCCUUCUCCCUCGCGGCGAGAUCUAGGGUUAGGGCUAGGGUUUCGGCGAGGAAAGGAGGAGGAGGAGGUGGGAGAUGGGGCAACAGUCGCUGAUCUACAGCUUCGUGGCGCGGGGGACGGUGGUCCUCGCAGAGUACACGGAGUUCUCCGGGAACUUCAACACCAUCGCCGCGCAAUGCCUCCAGAAGCUUCCCGCGAGCAACAACAAGUUCACCUACAACUGCGAUGGCCACACCUUCAACUACCUCGUCGAGGACGGAUUCAGUGAGCUCCGAUCUCUCUCGAUCGCCCUAUUCCUCUUCUAUUUAGCGUUGUUGAUCCCUUUUUCUGCUGAGAUUUUUGUUGAAAUGGUUGGAUUUGGUGAUCUGGGGAGGUAGAUGGUUGUUUGGGGGUUGAUUGUGGUGGAAUCGAGGGUUUUUGAGUGUUAGGUCUCGUUGCUUUGCGUAGUUUGAGACGAUCGUGGUGUUUCUUAGCUGAUUAAUAGACAGAUCGAUUCGUGCGAUUUUUCGAAAAAGGAAAGCGAGUAGGUAGAGUAUAUAGCUGUUUCCUCUAUAAUUACAUGUGUUAUGAUUGGUUUUUCAUCUUUACCCUUUUGUUUUUUUGUUUAUGAGAGACCAUCUGAUGACAAGUUGUGUGUACUUGCCAUCCAUCUUACUUAUUUUGGUCUCUAUAUUAUGUUUGCAGAAUUUACCACGUAGAUAAUAGCAUGUUACUAAAGUUCGCACUUUGUCUUUUCACAUAGUUUAGUUUUCUUAGAAAUUGUGAUGCAAUUGGUAGGAUUAUUAUCUGCAUAAUUUUCUUGUUGAAUCUGAUAUGAUUGGUGGUUCUGCAAUGAUUGCACUGAGAUUUGCUAGAUCUAAAGGGUACAGGGCCUUUUCUUGUUUCCUUUUUUUUUUACUAGGAACUUCUUGGAUAAGCAAAUAAUUGGUAAGAAACUUCAUGCAUUCAGAUUAUGUGUUUUCAUGUCUAUACAGCUGAGGAGGCUUUGGUUCAUUGUUGGAAUCUUCUCAUAUAGCUUGGUCAUGAAUUAUGUUCAAAUUUGCUGUAGUUAUUCUUUUGGAAACUAUGUUAUAAUUCUAUUGGAAACUAUGUUAUAAAUAAAUCAUAAGUAACUAGCUUCAUAAGCUAAUCUGAGACAACUAUCUGCUUCGUUGUUGAUUUUGUUGUUUUACUACCAUUUUAUGUAGAAAGAUAGUAUUGGCCAUUCUUACUUUCUCUUGCUUUUGUCUGUAAAUUUGUGAUGAUGAUAGAAUUUGAUGUACUGUCUACAAUAUCAACUGAAAAAUUAUGAAAUAUGUUGUCUUGAAACAUUUAGUGUGUAACAUUUGUUUAAGUACUUAACAAAGAUGCUGCUGAAGAUGUAUUUUUAGCAUUGCCUUUUUUUAAUGUUGGUUAUCGACUUAUCGUAGAAGGUCUGUCUAUUUGUGAAUGGAAAAAGACAGACCGGCAAUUUAUAUAUUGUAGAGAGUUAUACUGAUGUUUGUGCAUUUACAUACUGGUAUUCACACUGGAAUUUUUUAUCUAAGUUCUCACUUCUCACAGUUUAAUAUUUCAAAAAGUUGAUUUUGGUGUGACAGUAAGUAUCUUUGUCGUGAAAAUAACAUCUACAUUAGGCACAUAGACAUCAUUCUCAACAUCCAAAUUGCUCAUUGGAUUCAUAUAUUAGAAUAGCAAGAGAAAUAACUAUGUCUACUUAUCUUGAUAUUAUUGUCACCAAGUUAAGUUUCAGUCAAAACUUUGAAAUCACAAAGGUAAUAUAGAGGUUUUUUUUUUGCGCUGAUCUAAAAGUAGAGAAUGAAACUAGUGCCAAACCAGAGAUUGUAGGUUUCAGUUAAAAUUGAUCUAAAAAAACAUUACUCUAGACAUCAACCUGAGAUGGCUGAAACUUGUGUAUGGAGUCAACUUUGAUUUAUUUAUGUGUUUUUUAUUAUAUUUUGUUCUCUUUGAUGGAAGGCAACAUGAGAGUAAGCUGUAUUUUGUGAAAAAGUAGCAUGAACAUUUAUAUUGUUAGUCGAAGUUUCAUUAUAACUAAUUUAAUUAUUAAUAGUUUUUGUAAUUUUUUUCUACAACUUUGGGACUUUUCAACAAACAUAACAAAUGGAAAGCAAAAAUGUUGAAACUGUCAUAUGUUUGAAAGCAAAACACUAGGUGUCUGGGUCAACUCCAAUACUAAACCAAGACUGAUAUUUUUCUAACUUUGCUUGUUCCUGAACCUCUGGGCGGGGACAAGACAAAGCCAAGAUUUAACUCAAGGGGGCCAAAAAUUUUAGGUUUAAUUGUAACUAAUAUGUAAGUUAUAUUGAGCAAAUGAUAAUUUUAAAAUCUAAUUUAUAUAUAUAUAUAUAUAUAUAGAGAGAGAGAGAGAGAGAGAGAGAGAGAGAGAGUAUAAUUGCUAUCGAUUAAGCACAAGCACCUUGAAAGUGCUUAGUAGUUUUUCUGGCCGUUUAGAUCUACCCUAUUAACAUUUUUAUUCGUUCGAUCAUACAUUCAAACUAACCACCCAGUUAAUCUAGGGGACCACUAGUCAUUCCCUAACUGCAUAAUCGCUUCAUCAAAAGGCGAAAAGUGCUACUGAUAGUAUACCAGCCUAGCUCUAUAUAUAUAUAUAUAUAUAUAUAUAUAGUUUGACGACUAUACUCUUAUGAGUACGAUCACUUUUGUACUCAGAAGUCGUUUUCGAUGAUAGAGCUUCCGAAGUGACGAUCCAUACCGUUAAACAUUAUUUAGAGCAUUUAAAACUUUUAGAAAUCAAAUUUUAUAAUUUUUUCGACAUCAUUUACCUUACGAUCAAAAUGUCACAAAAUUGACAAUUUUUAACAGCUGGUAUGGGAUACUUGCUAGUUUAACGGUGUAAAAAAAUUGGAAUAGAUUGAAUUUUUGAUAGGAAAUUCUAUUCACUACCUAGAUAAAGAUCAACAACUCUGAUCUUAAAUUGAAGGAUCCGAUCAUCCAUUUUUAGGACGUUAUUGUUGUCCAUUUAUGAAUUAUUUUCGUGUUCCAAUCUUGAUUUUUAUGGCUAAAACUUAGCUGGUAUGCCAGUGAUUGCAAGUUAGUAACUAAGCACAGACUAGGUUGAGUUGUAGUUCAUGGAUAUGCUACGACGGCAAUAAAUAGUAUCCCCUUUUCUUCUAUGGUGUUAAAAUGCAGUCGUGUGAAAUAUGUAGCUGAGAGAUGCAGUGUGUUUCAACAGAUUUCUUUUGGUUGGUAUAGUGAAUAUUUUGGAACGUAUCGUGGUUUUAGAGCUUUUAACCUGCCAUGAGAAUGUCACCUUAUCUAAUGGUAUGUUAGCAGGGUUGCUAGUGGCCUAUCAGAACAGUAGGGGCUAUAGCAAGUCAAUGUGAGAAUAGUGGGUAGUAAAAGUUGAAAAAGGACUAAACUGCAAGAUCUAGAUUCUCUUAUUUUGUCUCUACCUUGAUUUAGAUUUUUUCUUAUUCUAGAAACUUUUUUAAACUAUUCAUUAGUAGCUAAUGUUUGUUUUCAACUUUGCAGCGUAUUGUGUGGUAGCAGUUGAGUCAGUUGGGAGGCAAAUUCCCAUUGCUUUCUUAGAGAGGGUUAAGGAGGAUUUUACGAAAAGAUAUGGAGGAGGCAAAGCUGCAACUGCUGCGGCCAGCAGCCUUAACCGAGAUUUUGGGUACCUUUUCAUUUUACAUCUAAGUUCAAAUCAAUAUACUUUAGUGCUUUUAGUAGUUAAUCAUAGUCAUUUCAGGUCAAAACUGAAGGAGCACAUGCAGUACUGUGUGGACCACCCGGAGGAGAUCAGUAAGUUGGCUAAAGUGAAAGCUCAGGUUUCAGAAGUUAAAGGAGUUAUGAUGGAAAAUAUCGAGAAGGUAUGGUGUGGUUGCCUUUCAUUGUUAUUUGGGAAUUUUCCGAUACUUCGAAUGUUGUAUAGCUCUCUGCUUUACCGCCCUGCUUACAGCCCAGUUAGUGGAGGAAAUUCCUGUGGUUUAAAGUGUGGCACUUUAUUGCUGCCUUGUGGCUUUCCAUUAAAACUGAGCAAGUAACAGUCACGUGAUACAUCAAACUAUAAGUUAGAAGAAGGAAUCAGUACUAAGUGGUUUAAUUCCUUCUAUACAAUGUUUGUAAUAUCAUUGUGCUAAAUUUUGAACUUUUGACCUCAUUUUACCCUAUGGUUUAAUGGAAAACCAGAAGGAGAACAAUUGGGUAUUAAAGUAUUACAAAUUGAACCACAGGAUGUCGAGGUAGAAUAUACCUUUGCAUGGUGUUUGGGGUUUGGGGGACGUAAUGAAGUAUUUCCUUGUACGAAAUAUGUUAGGUUUUGUGAUGUUUUGAGAUUAGUGAUAUCAUUUUAUUGUAUCUGAUUUCUCGUGGGGAAUUCCUUCUGUAUUAUUAGGUUCUUGAUCGCGGAGAGAAAAUUGAGCUGCUUGUCGACAAGACAGAGAACCUUCGCUCCCAGGUCUGUAAUUCGAAUUUUACCGACAAUGAUGGAUCUGUUACUCGUUACUACUUUGUGUCCUCUUAUUGUUGUAUUUUAUUGGAUUUCUAUACAGGUUCUUAUUUGCAACUAAUUUCCAAUGUUUUUGCUUUUCAGGCACAAGAUUUUCGGCAGCAAGGGACGAAGAUACGAAGGAAGAUGUGGCUGCAGAACAUGAAGAUAAAGCUGAUUGUGCUGGGGAUCAUCAUCGCCCUAAUCCUCAUCAUCAUCUUAUCCGUCUGCCACGGCUUCAAAUGCUAAUAUGGGUGAACCCUAGAUUGCUUCAGAAUGUCCCACUUCCCCUGAAAUUGGACUCUGGUUUUCGAGCUUGAUGAAGAUGUUUCGUGCUAUUUCCAUAGAUGCAUUGGUGGCCGUCUUGAUGGUUCUAAGGUAAAAUUCCUAUUCCUCUUUAUAUAGCCAUACUGUUUCGGUAAAGUGUUUGGGAACUUGCGUCGAUUGGCUUGAAAUGACUGUCUUUUUAGAUAUUUUGUUCGCUAUACUUGGUCGGAUAUUUUCUUGCUAUGUUAGUAGGAUGUUUCUUAUUUACAUGCCUUUGCUGUCGCAAAUAUUAAAGGUUAUAGGUGCCAUCUAAUACUCGAAAAUUCAUUUCGUGCUAUUUAAUUUGGAUCCUAUGAUGAUUUCAUCACAUCUCGUCGUGUCUCUUGGAUUCUCUUCUCGCCUGAUUAAGUUUGGGGAUGUGAUGUGCUAGAUUUAAUUUUCUACCUUUAUCUUUUAAGUGACAAUGUUAUGCAGUCUGUUGUGCGCUGAACGCAAUGAGGCAUGUUCCGAAUGGUAAGGUGCCACUUGUACUGGUUACGCUGUAUUUAAGCUAGCCUGCUCGUUAACUACCCUGUUGGCAUGUUUAAGUCUUUCGAGAUGUAUUGCGAAAACUGGUCAGAUUACGUAUUUGCAAAGUGGACACAAACAGAAUAUUCUUCCUGCGUAACGUGACAUAUUAUCAAACUUGGGAUUUAUAAUAAUUGUUUGAUUUGAAUAGUAUUGUUCGAAAAGAUCCUCCUGUAUUCUACUGGAUGACCAAUUUACUCUUCGCUGCAGCUUAUUUUGAGAUUGGGGCGAGCGACGAUUGCUCUGUAUGCGGUUGAGUUCCAAUAUGUAAAUCAUCAUAUUGUGCGUAUUGAAAUAAAUCAAUUGCCAAUAUUUUUUAUAUUUUCUAGUCCCAAGUUUAUUUAUGUCUUAUGUAGUGUCCAGAAUGGAUCAUAUAUGAAAGCUGGCCAUAAUCUCUCGCUUACCUUUUACAUAAAUAGGGUAUGAGAACUCCUUGGCUAUCAGGCAAAAAUAGUCUGAUAAUAUAUUAUUAUAUAUAUUAUAUAUAUAGAUGAGGCUACUAUCGUAUCCGGAAGCACGGACGCUUUUCUGCGUCCAGUUCGUUUUUGAUGUUGCGACUGUCGAAUCCAUCAAUCGGCUCCGUUAAACUUUAUCAUGAGUAUUUGAAAGUAUCUAGAAAAUAAAUUUUAUUGAUUUUACGAUAUCAUUUGCCUAUGUGACGAAGGCGGCCUCAAAAUCAACGGCUUGAAAAUAAAAUCUUACAAAUGACAAUAUGAAUAUUAAAUUUUAAAGUCGAAAAGAUAUUGAUCUUAGUUUUUAUAUAGUAUUUUAAAAAAUUUUCUAUCAGAGAAUUUCACGUAGCAUUCGGGAUAUUUACGUACCGACCGUUAAAUUGCCAAACGGCUCACUAUGGCCAUUGAAAUUUGAGCUGAUUUUGAGCUGAUCGCGGAUCACUAGGCAAGAUGAGUAUCGAAAAAAGAUAAAUUUAUUUUCUAGGUACUGCCAAAUAUCUAGAUCAAGUUUAAGCGGAGCCGAGUGACGAUUCAGAAAUGCAACAUCGAAAACAAGCUGAGGCAUCGGAGGAGGCUCCGUGCUGUCUGUUCCGUGGGAUAGAUAGUAGCUCACUCGUAUAUAUAUAUAUAUAUAUAGUAGGGGUACUAUACUCUUAUGAGUAUUGGGCCCUUCGUACUUAUAAGUUGUUUUCGAUGAUGGAGCUUUCGAAUCGACGAUCCACUAUAUAUAUAGAGUAGGGCUACUAUACUCUUAUGAGUAUAGCGUCUUUCGUACUCAUAAGUUGUUUUCGAUGUUGGGGCUUCCAAAUUGACGAUCCGCAUCGUUAAACAUGAUUUAGAGUAUUUGAAACUUUUAAAAAAUAAAUUUUGUAAUUUUUCGAAAUCAUUAUAAAGUUCAUUAAAUGGAUAUAAAAUGAACGGUCAAAAUCGAAUGACAUCCUAAAAAUGGAUAAUCAGAUCCUUCAAUUUAAGAUCGGGGUUAUUGAUCUUUAUCUAGGUAGUGAAUAGAAUUUUUUAUAAAAUUUCAAGCUAUUUCGAUUCUUUUACACCGUUAAACUAGCAAGUAUCACAUACCGGCCGUUAAAAAUUGCCAAUUUUGUGAGCUUUUGAUUGUAAGGUAAAUGAUAUCGAAAAAUUAUAAAAUUUGAUUUGUAGAAAUUUUAAAUGCUCUACAUAAUAUUUAACGGUCUGGAUCGUCGAUUCAGAAGCUCUAUCAUCGAAAUCAACUUCGUACUCAUAAGAGUAUAGUAGUCGGACUCUGUAUAUAUAUAUAUAUAUAUAUAUAUAUAUAUAUAUANNNNNNNNNNNNNNNNNNNNNNNNNNNNNNNNNNNNNNNNNNNNNNNNNNNNNNNNNNNNNNNNNNNNNNNNNNNNNNNNNNNNNNNNNNNNNNNNNNNNAUUAAAACCACGUGAUACUAAAGUAAAUAUUCUAUAAACUAUAUAAUACUAAAAUGAAUAUUCGAUAAACCAUAGACGGGGUAUCUAAAAUAUUUUGUAUAUAUGAUUUAAAGAUGAGUAAACUGAAGCGCUGAUGAAAAAAAAAGAAAAAAAAAAGAAAAAAAAAAAAGAACACACAAGGUACUAAAAUAAUACACUUUAAACCACAUAGUGCUAAAAUAAAAAAUCGCAAAAUCACAAAAAUAGUAUUUAAAGUUUGCCCAACUUUAAAAGAGAAAAUGAAUAAAUAGAAACCAUUGGAUGGAUAGGAUGUAUAAUUUACACCGCUUUUGAGCGUAUGAAUAGUAUUGGUCUUUUUUCGCUGGUCACAGUGUGUGAUUAGCGAAGAAAUCUCAAUUCUAAUAUUUUUUUGGACAUUUGAAUAACAUUGCUCUUAUUACAUACUAGAACAUCUGCUUUCGCAGUAAAAGUAGAACUAAAGCAAAAGAGAAAAGAAAUAUAUUUCUUUAUUAGAUCUUCUAUUCGACACUAUUCCCAUCUGGGUCUGAUUCGCUCAUUGAAUGCACGAACUUCUUAUUCAAGAUAUCUCUAUAAUUUACUUCAAAAAUCUUGUAUAAUUGGCGGGCGAAGAGUGCGAUCAAAUAUUUGGAACGAAAUAUUAUAUAUAGCCUUUUUAUUUAAGUAAUUACUCCGGAAUAUGAUAAAUCACUUUAUAGGUAAAAUAUAUUAUGCUACUAAAUUAUAGAUAUCAAGACCUUUCGGGCAGAAAAAAUCAAAAUCUUUAGCUCCAACCACAAAAAAAUCCGCAUAUCAAAUGUGUAAUUCUUAGAUUCCAACGUUCAAAUAGGGCCUUAUGUGAUGCAUUUAUAUUAAUUAAUACACAUCAUCUGCAAACUCAUUCAUGUAGUAAAGCUUUGAAUCUUAAUUUCACAAUCAAAUCAAAUCAUUGAAACUUGCUUGAACUGUGAGAGUAAAAUGCACGAUUGACUCCCAAAUAGAUUGAAAAUGAAAGAGGGUAAAUGAAAUAGGAAGGAAAGUGCAGGGAUGGUUUUCGAUAUUUAACCUAAAAGUUGUCGCAUAAUCCGGUUUGAGCGAAUAUAUUAGACACUCCAAAUGGCAAGAGGAAAGUAAGCAGCUAAUUCCUUAAAAGGCGUGGCAAAAUGAACAGAAAAGCUCCAAAAUAGAAAUAAAAUCACCUUCUGAACAAAAGAACUUUGGAGUGAUUUUGAAAUACAAGACCCUACAACCAUGGAGUUGAGUUAUCCUGGUAUGCAAUUCUUAUUUCACAUGAAUGGGGAUUUUCUUCUACGGUUAUGUCACUCUAUCAAGAGCACCACCAACCUGCAUAUGAAGCCAUUCCGUUGCCGAACCCUGUCCAUACUCCCUUGGUGUCUCUAGGCUAAAUGGCAAACUAGAAGAAGCAUUGAAUGUUUGAGGGCCGAACUGCAAAAUGUUUCACGACGAUUUUGCCGUGAAAGUACAAUAAUCCAUCAUCGAUUAACCCAGGAUACGUAAUCAUGGUAGGAACUAUAAUUAUGUUAUACCCAUGGUGAAACUUUCCACAAAAACUUACAUCUUUUGGCGGGAAUGCUUCAAUGCCGGUGUCCAUGCUUGAAUUGACUGCUUCUAGCUUCAUCGACAAAAACUGAAAUGUGCAGCAAAAAGGAAUUAUUUUUGAACUACUUUUGAAGGCAAUGCCAAAGAAUGCCAACUGCCGGAAAGGUAUCUACCUCAACCUGGCAUUGUAAGGCCUGAAUGUAAUUGAUUAUUUCAUCCAGAACUGAUGCUUUACCAAUCACCUGUGAGAACACGCAUGAAAGCACAACGUCAGAGCGCAACAUUCAACGAAAAGUAGCUCCAGAAACUAGAAGAGACAUUAAAUUGCGACCUUCAGCAUGAGUUGAAAAUAGUUGAUCCGAUGCAAUACUACAUGAUAUCUGAAAUUUUUUUACAAAAAAUAAUGUGGAAAUUUCAAUAUAGAAUAUGCACCUUAUUGCAUCCAGGGACUAGAUCUUGGAGAGUUUUCAUCCGUUCACUUAUUUUUUCUCUCCUUGCCUGCCAAUAAAGAAAUUCCAGUAAUAUAAUUAAAAUUAUGGAGCGAAGAAACCUCAGAAUGCUGCAAAUUUUGUGACCAACUUUCUACCAAGUAAAUAGGAACACAUUUCAAAAAAAAAAUUUCGUGCCUCUUUUGUCUAGCUUCAUGGGGAAGCAACAGCCAGAGCUUUUGCUGUGGCUAGAAGCUGAAGUGAGCUUGUGAGCUCAGAAAGCAAAAGCUUCUAUUUGAAACCUCUGCUUCUGGGGUUUCAAUGGAAAAAGAAGAUUAAUUUUAUUUUAACAGCUCGUAAGCUACAAAUCAUGGAUACCAAGGAGGUAGGGAAUAACGGAGUUUAAGUUGUAACUUCAAAGAAAACCUUACUCUUUCUGCAAGACUAUGACUAUCUGUUGCUUGCCCCCUUCUCGCCCUGACGUGGAUGUAAUCUUGCUUGGGUGGCUCAGGCGGUGGAGCGAUUUGAUCCAUCUGCUUAUUAGCCAUUCCAGAACUUGCUUCAGCGGCACCUUUCACAUUGACAUUAUUAUCAACAGAGUUUACGCCCUUGAGCCGUUUUCCUUCAGAAUUAGUCUGCAAAGUAUUUCAACGAGCUUUCAGUUCAACCAUUUUUCAACAUUAGAAGCAAUUCUUACAUGAAUCAUCGCACUUUUUUUUUAAUGAUUUUACUUUUAUGCAAGGGCUCCAAAAAAUAGAAAAUUGUUUAGCAUACUAUCAUAUCCCUAAAGAAAGCACCAAAUUGCCUUCUAUUAAACAUAAAAACCCAACAGUAUAUCAAUUAAGCUACAACUUAGAGAUACACUAUUUCAGCAGAUUGAAACCACUGAUUAAACUAAACCAAUAUGGGGCACACCAAUAGAAACAAGCCAAGCUUUUGAAAAUGUUGAGGAAUCAAUUAUGAUAGAUCAAGCACGCUGAUAAUGUAUUACAACGUUGAGAAAGUAUGCCUUAUUUUUGUUAUUUCAAUUUUCCAGAUUAUUUUCUCUUUGCUGAAAAACUUAAGAAACUUUUUUGUCCAGAUCCGAAGAUGACACUGGAAACAGCCAAAACUACUGAAACUGAAGCACUGAGAGCCAUCAUCAAAACAGAUACAGUAGAUAAAAUUUCAAACCUUGUUUGAGGUAGUCAACUCAAAUCAGCCAAAAAUUUGGAAAGACUAUUGAAUUUGGAUGCAAAACUUCGCUAGAAUGCAGUAUAUCGCUCGAAUUUAUAUUUGGACAUCUAUCUAAGUUGCAAAUAAAUAAUGGAUCUAAAACUAGCGAAAAAAGAUCUCUUUCUUUACAAGAGAUACCGAAAUCAGCAGUUUAUUAACCGAUUUAUAAAAUUUCCAUGAUUGUACUCUAUUAAGUAUAACCAGCAUCAUCCAUCAACUCAUUUCUGUGAUAUUUUGCAUCCAUAUUCUACAAUUAUUCGAGUUGUUAGACCUACUUACGACAUUAAUAAAGUACAAGGUUGAAAUUAAUGCAAUUUUUCAUGUAAAGGUAAUUGAAACGCGGGCUAAAGCUUGAGAGGGUUUCUUUGUAAUUUACCCUAAAAACUAACACAAGCAAUCAAACACACUAAGGAGCCAGUUGGUUGAAUGUAAUUGUAAAUAUAGUGUAGUUAGAAAUCUGUACAGAUGGAAAUACAACAGUUAUAACUACAUGCAUCUUGUUCGGUUGGAUGUAACAGAAAGCACUACAACUAUAAAUAAGCUGUUCGGUUGUAAGCAGCUGAAAAAGUACGUUCACAAACUUUUAUUUAUAUACGGGAUGGUUCGAUUACUCCCUAUUUUAUUAGAAAAAGGUAAUUUAAAUUAAAAAAGUUAUUAGAAAGUAAGGUUUUCUCUUUUGUUUAAAGUUGCCCUCUCCAAAUCUCCAGUAGUUGAAUUUAAAUGCAUCAUACCAAACCCUAGAUUUGGAUCUGCAUGCGGCGACGACAGCGGUUCAAGUGCAACUAAGCACAACCAAACAGCUUCUGAGUAUAGUUCAAGAACUUCGAAACUACAAAAGUAACAUUUGGACAAAUUAACACCUUUAGCCAAUUGUAAAGUUCACAUUUUUCCCUACUCCACCAGAGUAUUACCCCAAGAAACCCUCCAAAACAACUGUUUUUCACCUCAAUUUUAACAAAUCAACAAGAGGCUUAAUUUCUUACCCUAACCCCAACCCUCUCCAAUCACACAUACAAAUCACUACAAGAAACCAAACCCUAGCCAAACCAGGAGCGAGGGGAGGAAGAGGGUACCAAGCCAUUGCCGCCGCCGCUCGUCGCCGAGGCGAGCUUCGGCGACUCGCCCUCCGCCGCCGCGGAGUCCCUCCGCCGCCGCCGCGCGGCCCCGCGGCUCCCGCCACUACUCUCCGUGACGCUCGACUCGUCCACCGAAUGGUCCCGGUUCCGGACGCCCCCGGCGGCGGCCGCAAAAAGAGUUCCCGCGCCCCUCUCCGCCCCGGGCCCGGCGACCGGGACCCCGAUCAUAGGGAGCGGUUGCCACAUCUCGGAGCUCGAUCCCACUUCACAUAGCUAGGGUUUGAUCUCUCUAUUGCGAGGAUUCGAAGCUUCGAAUAAGAGAGCGUGAGAGUAGAUCUGAAAGAAGAAGCGUGAGCUUGGGACUGACACUGUUACUGAGAAAGAGAGAGAGAGAGAGAGAGAUCAAAGAUUGUGACAGGGGGAAUUAAAUGCAGGUAAAAACGUACACAAGUUACUGAGUUACUGGGCUAUUGAUCAUUUUAAAUUUUAAAUAGCCAUUUAAUUUUUAAAAAUUUUUAUUUUUUAGAUUAAAUUUUAAAUUUUUUAAUUUUAGUUUGACGAUAAUAUUUUAAUUUUAAAAUUUAAACUAAUUAAAUUAUUUUAAUAAAUUUAUAGUUACGAAAAUUAUAUAAAUUAUAUUAACUGAACUUGCAACGUUAUCUUCAAAUUUUAAGUAUUAAUUGGACUGUAAACUUUAAAUUUAAAAAUAUUAACUAGCCGACUUAAAUGAUCCAUAGUUCUUGUCUUACAUGUAUUGAAAGUUUGAUAGAAAAAUUGUCGCCUAAAUUAUAAAAUUUUUAUAAUUACAAAAUAAGUUUCAUUUUUUUAAUAAAUUAAUUAAUCAUCUCAGUUCAUAAUUUAUUAAUUUAAAAUAAUUAGUAAUAGCUAAAAGGUUAAAAAAAAAAAAAGGCCCAGCGAAGUGCUUUGACUCUACUGUUAAUAACUGAAUAUAAUAAUUAUAAUAAAUGUUAUUCAAAAAAGCAAUUUUACAUUUUUCUAAAAAAUAUAUAUAUAAAUUAUCUGAAUUAUGAAUCAUUUUGAGUUGGUUAUCCAACCUUCUAAGAUUUUGAGUUCGCUAUACAAUUUAUUAAUUUUUUUAGUUGAGUCAGUCAAUAAAAUUUUUUACUUUAAAAUUAGGCCAAUUUGUAUAAAAAAUUCACUUAUUUUGGGCUUUUGCAAAACCGGACCACCUUUUUCGUUUUUGCAUAUUCGGUCCGCUUUUUCGUCCGCUUGACCAAAAUACCCUUAUUAUUUUUUCUCUUUCCUCUUUCUCUCUCCUCUCUGUUUCUAUCGUUCUGUUUUUUUUUCUCGCCGCGCCCGCCGUUCUCCCUCGAAUCCUCCUGCGUCGUCCCCAUCACCGUCGCGUUCCCGAACCGCACCCUCCUCGCUCCCCCCGGCGACCCGCACCCCUCGACGGCCCCCACGGCCGCUCCUCCGCCGCCGGCCGGAGCGACCCCCGCCGGCCGGCGGCGGAGGAGCGGCCGUGGGGGCCGUCGAGGGGUGCGGGUUGCCGGGGGGAGCGAGGAGGGUGCGAUUCGGGAUCGCGACGGUGAUGGGGACGGCGCAGGAGGAUUCGAGGGAGAACGACGGCCGCGGCGAGAAAAAAAAAAAGAGCGAUAGAAUUACACCAUUACACCAUUACCAUUACACCACUACCAUUACACUAUUACACCAUUACUAUUACACCAUUACCAUUACACUAUUACACCAUUUACACCAUUACACCAUUUACACCAUUUACACUAUUACACCAUUACACCAUUUGUCGACGGAGAAUAACACGCGCGGGUCUUUUUUAUUUUCUUCUUCUUUUUCAUUUUCUUCUUCUUCCUCCUGCGGAGGACCUCGACUCCCUCGAUCUCCGCUGACG
rnacentral:lncRNA from 1 species